CCUAGGAUGAAUUAUGCAAAAAGAUUCUUGAAGACCACAGGCUACGAGUCUUGAUUAGGCACUUCUCUGCUGUAAAAUUUUCCCACUACUCUGGAGUCCAGAAUUUCAAUGGCUUUCUCAGACUUUAUGUUCUUAGGUGUCUUGUACUGGUUUAAAGAAGUUCCUUGAGAAACAUAAAAGUCCAUGAGCACGUUGAAUGUUCCUUGUUUCACAACUCUAAUUUCCAGAGGACCAAUGGUACUGAUGCUCUGAUUCCUCAGCAUCUUAUAUUCCAGGUCCAGAGAUUGUUCCACUAAACUACAGCAUUUUUCCAUUUUAACCUGAUCAAGUUCAGGUAUAUCAUCGUUUGAUCUGAGUUGAAGCUCCCAAAAUAGUACAUAGUGACCAGGAAUAGAAGAUGUAUCAUCAUAGCUACUGUAAUCCAAAAGAAAGAAGCCAAGUGGUUCAAGGAUCUGAAUUGCCAUUGCAACUGCUUUCUGGAGGUCUUGUUCAGUUGUUUUAUCUGUGUGAAUACUCAAAACCACAUUUGUCCUUUGUCCAAAUUUGAAUUGGGGAGUGGAAUUGUGAAAACCUGUCACCAGGACAAUAUCCCGCAUUCCGUACCUGUACAAACCUGAAAAUACAUUCUUCCAUCAAUAUUCUAGACAUUAGAGCGUUUAAGCAUUUAAACUGUCUAAUCAUCAUUGGUUGUGUGUAUCAGGUACUGAAAAACAGAAUGUAAUAAACCUAUAUUCGACAAGUUUGAACAUCAGAACAAACCGUGCACAUUAGAUGUCCAAGGCAAUUGUUAAGUAGAAAUUUACGGAACUACCAUCCAUUUUAGAACAUGAUAAAGGGUAUAAAAUGGAGACCAGUAGACACCUUGAAGAGGCACUUCUGUGUUUUAUCGAAUACUUUUUCAUGGGACAGACUAACAGAAUUAUAGUUCAUAUCUGUGGUACACCACAGGCAGUUAGGGUCAAUUCAAAAGUACAGUGAUCUCACCUGUAAAGGUCAUGACAAGAAGUUCAUAAUGCUGGCCAAUCUUAACAUUAGCAAGAUCCACAAUGUGAUCUUUCAAAUGAGCAUCUUUCCUGUUGGUGCAGUUUGGAUCUUGAUGAUUGUCAAUUGGCAAGAACUCAUAGUAGGCCAUGUUUGGUAUAAAAGUAUACGAGACAUCAUAAGGACUGCACAAAGGUUUCAUGUUAAUCCCACAAAAUGCCUCUGAAGAACCAUAAACUGAUGAAACUAGAGGUAAUCCACCCGUAUAGAACUCAAGCGCAGGGAUAUAUUGUGCCAUGGACCUUGUAAUAAUGGCCAUGACAUACUUGGUCCUUGGCUUGAUCUUCUUAAUUAUCCCUUCCCAAGACUUUUCUUGGCAUACAAGAUCAAUUGAAUCAGCCAAAUCUGGCAUUUGUUUGCUCAAAAUCAAGGAGACAGCCCUUUUGCAGUUAGGGUCAGUGAUCCAAUCACUCAUUUGUCCAGUUCUUAUGUUGGAAGACAUUUCUUGCCAAUGUUCCUCAAAAAAUUUGAUUAUCCUUAACAAACCCGAGGCGAAAAAUGUACCAAUGCUUGCUAUCGCAUCUCGCUGCACAAGGCCACAAAGUAAUUGACUAUACAAGCUCUGAUUGGUAUCUUCACACAAUAUAACCUGAGGAUAUCUGUCUUUUCUGUUCUUUAUCUCGCUUGCUGUAGUUGUUCUUAAAACUAAGCCACCAGGAGUGUGGGUAUCCGGGCUGAUAAGGACAAAGGACAGCGCUUUCCCAUCGUUUAAUCCGUGAAGGUACCUUAGUUCAAAGCUAUACAUUUAGCACCUUUUAUUUGAUUCUCAUAAUUCUGCCGAAGAAAUAACAACUGUAAAUUCAUUGCAUUAGUGAAUUUACCUAUUCUGAACAGUAGCAAGGAGACAAAAAAAGAAGGCCCUGCGCUCUCCCUCCUCAGUAGUUUUUGGAAUCCACUUUUGUUUCCCACCUGAAGUGCCUAAGCUGCCAACGAAGUUAAUGAUUUCAGUUCAGAAAAAUAAGAAAUUCAUGAAAAAGAACAGAAAUGACUCGCGCUUCAGCAUUAUUGAAUUUACUCUCACUCCAUUCAGGAGUUUCCUUUCAUCUAAUUGGAACAAAACAAAGAAAUUGAUUUACCUUUUGAGUAGCUCAGUAAUGGAUUCAUUAGUUAAAAUCCGAGAUGGCUCUCCAUCUAGUGCAAUUCGAUCGAUGUAAAUCUUGAUAUCUUCAUAAUCUACCACAGGAACUUUAUCCUUGAAUAGUCCCUUAUUAGAAUGACCAUUAAGAAAAUCUUUCAAGUAAUCAGUGCUUGCAUUUUUAGUUAAAAUCUCCUCCAGGACCUGUUCUUGUAUAUGACCAGCAUUGCUGGUUAUAUCCUCCAAAAUGCUCGAACCAGCUUCAGUAUCUCUUGGAUCAAAGGUUGGCAGCAUUCUGGUAAAGAAAAGAAAUGCAGAAUCUGUGUUUGGGGAUGGGAAAUAUACAGGGAAAUUAAUUAAUGAAUAAGCACGCUCAACUACAUUGUCUUGAGGAAAAGAUUCACGCCAUGGUUAAGCCCUUUUAAACCCAUUGGCCAGGUCAUCCAUCCUUUCAUCCUCAUUCCCUUCUCCAAGAUGCCUAGUUAGCGUGCUGUAUGUUACCAUUGUAAAGUUGUAAUGGUGUAAACAGAAAAACUCAUUGAGUUGCUUAGUCUCCUUAUGCUAUGCUCAUCACUUGCACAAUCCAAAAUCACCAAAUGAUCUUGAAUGUACCUUCGAUCGAGCUCUUAUGGAUCUAUAUCCAUGCUUGAGUUCAGUCAAAAUCGAAUUCAAAUCGAGUUCGAGUAAUUUGAGUUGCUAUACGAAUUGAGUUGGAUCUCCAUAUAAUAUUCCAUAUUUAGCUUAUAGAGUUUUUAUGUAUAUUUUGUCGAGCAAGCUCAAUCUCAAGCUUCAGCUUGUCCUCAUAAUUUUCUUGAGUCAAACUCAAGCAUGAACAUGUGAUGUUCAUUGAACUUGAGCUCGGACUCAACCACAAAUUAAUUUUCUUUGGUCUUGAGUUCUAGUACCUCAAUAUUUGGUCUUGAUUUGGCUAAUAACACCUCUAGAGAGGUGAUCCAAAAUUUAAAUGAAUGGCACAUUUCUAGUCGUAAAAGGAAGCUUAUUCGUAUGUGUAGACACCAAAUUUUUAUUAUUUUUAAUUUCAUUUUUUUUAUUUAUUUAUUAAUUGGGUUAGACACCAAAAGUGGCUUUAAUUCUCUUAAAUUUGGUUUGAAAAUUGUUAAUUUAUUUUUAAUUGAUUUUUGAAAAAUGAAAAUGAAAAAGAAAGAAAAAUGUGUGGAUAGGUGGAAGCGUGCAUGUUGGACAAGUGUACAAAAUAAUCAUUAGACAAGUGUCUAAGGAAUUGUAGGACAAGUGUAUAGAGAGGUAGGUGUCAAGGACACUUGUUGGGCUUAGGGAAUUUGUGGAAAAAAAGAAACAAAGAAAAAACAAGCUACGGGGCGGAACGGAAAAAAAGAAUAGCAGAAACACAAAGGAGGAAAAAAAGAAAAGGCUUCGGACAGGCAAAAAAAAACAAAAAGAAAAAGGAAAAAGAACAGAGCUUGAGAGGAAAAACAGAGGGGAGGGGACGAUGAAAAUCUGGAGAGCUAAGCAGGGGGCUUCGGCCUUGAGAGGAAAAACAGAGGGAAAAAAUGGAAAUUGAGAAGAGGUACGAAAGGAAAGAGCAAGGAAAGAGCGGCGGACAAAGGUUGAUCAAGGUGGAAGAAGAGCUCGGGCAGGGGAAGAAUUUUCUGGAAAAAGAAACGAGAAGCAGAGGCCGCCCCUGUUUUCUCCCCUUGUUUUUCUUUCGCGCACUGCCGCCCACCCCAAAUCUCCUCUCUUCCUCACGCCAUCUGCCGUUGCCUCACCGCGCGCAACCUUCAUCGAAACCACCGCAGCCGUGAAGGUAGAAGCCGAGGCCAUUCAGAAGAGCUUCGGGCAGAAGUAAGAGGGAAAGGCCGCGACCAGAGCCUCUCGUCAACUGCUUCUCCAUCUGCUCCUCUUCCAUGGAUGAUUUGAGCAGCAACGGCAACAGAGGUUUCCAAUUCACCGAGCUGCCAUAACCUCAUCGAAUCUACCAUCACCAUCUGUGAAAAUUUCACCGGAACAAGAACACUGUAAGUUUCUUUCUCUCCAAAGAAUUUUCAGUGCCUGCCUAGUUUUUGACAUGGGUUUUCUGUGGUUUCAUUUGGGUGCAAUUUUCCUGUUAAUUGACCUCAUUUGGUUGAACACACAUGCUGCAUACGUGAAUUGGAUUGAAUGUUUUGGUUGCUGAUAAAUUUUGGGGCCGGUUGUAGUGUAAAUUAGGCAGAGAGUUGUUGAACUUUCCAAUGACCGUUAGUUGUUUGAUAAAAUGACUGAGUAAAAUUUUGAACCAAAAAGGAGAAGAUUUUUAUUCCUUUUUCUGCAUGAGUUCAGGAUGAAAUCUGGCCAGUCCGAAACUGGCCAGAAUCUGUGCAUUUUCAUCAGUUGGCGCAGGGAGAGAGGCCAUGAACUUUUGAAAUUGAUUUUGUUUAAUUUUGCUGUUUUUGCAUUCCAUAACGAUGUGAUGUUGUUGCCGUGUAAACUUGUCGGGUGUUUUGAAACAUCAGAAGUUGCAGAAACUUUUCCAUUGAAAGUUUGCAUCGCAGAAGAAGGAUUCUGCGAAGCAUGAAGUAUGAAUCUCUGUAAAUUUCAGUGUAGCCCCUCAAUUCCUGUCUAAUUUCACUAUGACCCAAAAUCUGGAAAAUCGACCUAAUUUUGCCCUUUAAGCUUAUUCCUCUGUUUGCAUAUUUUAUGCGAUUUGUUGGAUAGAUUAAUUCUUAGAUUUGGAUUAUAAUUAUGGCCUAAUAAUUUUAGUUGAUUUGCUAAUCUUGUUAGGUUUGGUAUUAUGAUUUGGGUUGUGGGUAAUCAUAAUUUGUUUGGGUUUGAUAAGUGGAUUGAUGACUUGUUUUUUCUGGGUUGUGACAUGGGCUUGAGAAAUGAAGCCCGUCUGUUUUAGUUGAAUUUUGUUCGGACUUGAAGAUAGGCUGGCCUGCUUGUGCUCUUAGGGUUUUCGGUUGGGCUAGGAAGGCCUUGGCCCACGAAAUAAAUACAAAUGGCCCAAUGGCCUGUUAUGCCAAGAAGCCUGAUAACGAAAUUUCAUUCCAGUCCCCUGACGUUCGAGUGUUUUCACUAUGGCCCCAAAAACUUUCAAUUUCAUUCAAUUGGGUCCUUACUUUAAUUGCAAAUAAGUCCUUGAGCUUUAUUUUUCUUUAAUUUUUGACCCCAAAACUUUGUUCAUUUUUGCAAUUAAGUCCCUUCUUCUCUUGACUUCUUAAAUGUGAAUUGUUGACAUGAUUUAAUUGAUUCAAAUUCAUGCUUAUUUUUUAUCCUUUGUGAUUAUUUGCCAAAUAAAUUGGUACCUUGACCUUUGUAUUGUUUUGAAGCUAAUAUCUCAUUUACUCGAUUUCCAUUGCAAGGGAGGUAACGUCUAUAUUCUUGAGUUUAUUUUUCUUACGUGCUCCUACGUGUUAUGUGAAUAUGCAUGUCUACUUUGCUUUCUUUGCUUUUCUUUAAUUCUUUCACUUAUUUUAUUUACUUUUGCUUUUUAUUUAAGUUAUUCAUUUUGGGGUAUGUGUACACCUCUUGGCUUGUAAUAGUUAGGGAUUUAAUUAUUUUAUUCCUCUUCCCCCUUUUAGAUUGUAGUAGGGUCUCCCUAAUGUAAUAGAUAGGGCUUGGAGGAGCAUUCAAUGAAGACCUAUCGAAGUCAUGUGCCUAGCUAGCAAAUGUAAUAGUUAGGGCUUUAAUUGUCUUAUGUGUCUUGCAUGCUAAUUGUUACUACGUGUUAAUUUGCUUUGUUAGGGCCUUGCAUCUAGUCGAGCAUGCUAAUUGUUAUGUGCUAUGUGUUUAUAAGUGUUUGGCAUGUCUACUCGCUUUCUAUAGCAUGAAUGAAUGUGAUGGAUGAAUGUACGUCACCACACUAGUCCAAUGCUAGUUGUGGCUCAUUAUUUCAUUAGGAAUUCAUAGAAAGGGCUAGUCCAACGCUAGACCCAAUAGGAUUUUUCCUUUGUUUUUCAUUAAUGCAUUAUUCGCCUGUUCACUACAUAUCAUGCAUUUUUCCUUACUUUUAUCAUCUGGCAUGCUCCUCGAUUCCCCUGUCCCCUCACUUUAGGUCUUGCAUCUCAUGCUAGUUAGGGUACAUUUACCUGAAGAGUCCCCUUAAAUAUGGGAUAUAGACGAGUGUGACUUUUUUUAAGCCUUAGCACGCUUGUAUUCCCUCUAUCAAAGGGCAAAUUGAGUCACGAUUUAGGUCUCCCCGUACCCAAUAUGCAUGAAUUCCCUAGGCUCAUGCAUUCUCAAUCCACUCUAUCAUUACACUUUCACUUUUGUCUCAUUUGCACACAUGCACCUUUUUAUCACCUUCACUUGCACACGAACACUUUUUUGUCCCCACUUGCACACGAACCCUUUUAUUUUCACUUGCACACGAGCAUUUUAUCUUCACUCGCACACGAGUACUUUCAUCUACAUUUGCACUCUUAUCUUAUUACUUUUAUCAUUUUUCUCGCUUCACACAAACUCACACUUUCACAUGGCAUGCAUUCCACUCAUUUUUCACGUCAUUUAGGUUUAGGUGUGACCUCUCCAAAAGGAUCAUUAUUGGGCUUCACAAUUAAUGUGAUUGGCACCACUCAACCUUUGAAGAGAAAUUUCCCCCAAUCCCCCUAGGUCUAGGUUUUUGCAUUCAUAUAGACAUAUCCAAUACGCGAUACAUACCUUGGGUAGAAAAAUUAGGAAAAAUUGGUUAAGUCGCGCAACUAGCCUUGGCUAGGUCAAAGGGGUGCCUUGGAUUCUAUCCUUGCCUUCCCCUUUGUCAAACGUGACCCCCGAACCUUUUUCUUUGGCUUAACGUGGACUAGGAGUCGUUUUAAAAAGGGUUUUACUACUUUGUCUUUAAAAAACACUUUUUGGGUGACUUGGUACACCCCAAAUCUAUACCAAGUGGCGACUCCGUUUUCAUAUUUAAAAAACCCUUUUUAAAAUUUCAUUUGGCCAAAUCGUCGCUUUCCAAAGUCCCAUGGCCUUUUACUUUUCAUUUUGCACACAUUCACACCACACUUCAUCACUCACAUUCACCCAAUCGAAAAGUGGGGCGCGACAGUAUGCAUCUUCCAAAAUUUGGCAAAAAUAUACUAGAUACCAGUUGUAUUCUGUAAUAUAAUUAAUAGGGCAAAUUAUACUUUACCCUCUGUGAUUUAAUACUUUUCCAUGUAACUCUUCUAUAGUUGCCAAGGCUAUGUAUAAACCCUUAAGUUUGGACUAAUGUUUCAAAGUGAGAGAAAUGGUACUCUGUAAGGGAACCAACUCAUAGGGCUGAAAAAUGAACUAACCUACUCGAUGUUCGAAUCGAGGUUGCUUGGUAAGAACUCGUUCGAGUUUGGUAAACCAACUAGUUAAGCCAAAUUUGAACAGCGUUUUGCUGCUCAAUAACAUUCAAACUCUAUAAAAAAAACUCGUUCAAACUUGGUUUGGCAAAUAAAUAAGCUAAGUUUGAACAAAAUUUCAAACUUGUUAAAGUAAUCAAACAAACUUGAACAUUAUGGUUUUCAACUUGAUUAGGUUCGUUGACACCCCUACCAACUAAAAUGUUGAGAUUACUCUCAUUUAGAAACAAAAAUGAUUAAAAUGGCCAAAAUAUGUAAACAUAGUGUGCAUGACAUUUUAGUCCCUUAUGGUAUAGUGAUUUCCACAUAACUACCUUUUAUUUUCAAAAUCUAUACAUAACAUCCCUCUGGUUAACAAAUAGUUUUCAUAUUGACAUAGGGAUGUUUUUGAUAUUUUAGUAGAUUAUGUUACUGAAUGCAAAUUCGAUCAUUUUGACAUUUUAGUCCAAAUCAUGAUGGAGUUACGUACAAUUUUGAAAUGGUAAGAGGUUUAUAAGGAAAAGUACUAAAUCACAGUAGGGUAAAGUGUAAUUUACCCUAAUUAAUAUUGAAGUGGGGUUUUCAAGUAAACGGAGUUUGCCAGAUAAAAAGGUGAGUAGUGUUUUGACUACCAAUUUACCACAGCUUCGUCCUUCAACCAAAGGCAACAAAUAUCACCAAACUUAUCAGCACGAUAAGUGAUAACCAAAGCUCUGAAAAAAACUGAACUCGAAGAAUUACAUAUUAAGACAGGAUUAACAACUUGACUGUAUGAAUCUUGUUGACUUUCGACCUACAAAUGUAAACCAUUCAAAAAAUGUAAAUAUAUGGCCAAGUAAGCGUAUCGCAUAGGUAAAAAGGAAAACAUAUGAAUCACAUCAGAAACAACAGGAGGAAAUUAAUCAAGGAAGCCAAUAUACCUCACCUAAAAGGAACUUGAUUGCAUAUAAUCCUACGGCGCAAAUAUACCUCACCUGGAAAAAACUUGAUUGCCCUUUGAUCCCACAGCAAAAAUUUUGCAGAAAAUGAAGCCUUUGAGACCUAAUUUUUGUCGACUGCUGUUCAGUUAUGCCGGCUUAAUAGCAGAGAAGUGGAUCUCUUAGUAAUAGGGCAUGUGGUAGACAAAGUUAGAAACUUAGAAAUGAAUUCCAAGAAUGUCGGAUUGCACAUGUAUGUAGGACAGGAAAUACUCCAGCCCACUUACUGGCUAAGUUACUUUAUUUGUGAGGAUAGGGUUACAUGGUGGGACAACUUUCCACCUUGCAUUGUAAAUGCUGUGUUUUGUGAUAUGAAUGGAAAGAAAGUUAUGCAGGGACUAGGGGGAUUAGGGGCGGGAACGGUCCUCAGAUUGACCGUUCCUGAGCUGUUGUCUCACAAAAAGAAAGGUAAGGCCAGAAAUAAACCACGUCAAAAGGCUUCAGUUUGGCCCAAAAUGACGUCAUUUUAUUAAGUGAGACAGUCAAAAAAAAUGGUUAUGCUCUGCUGACCGUAAUGGCAAGAAACGGAACGUUAUGACCACUAGUAAGCAAAGUCCCGCCCAAAGUGAAAUGUCGAAAAUGAAAAGGCGCACUUGAACUCCCACCCAAACCAGACGAAGCAGUUGCUUGCGAAAAGCCACGAAGGGAGAAAUAAGAGGGGAAAAUACGAGAUUGGCAACACUCUCCGGCGUGACAUUGCGAAAAGCUGUGGAAGUGCAACAUUGGAUACGGAAAAAAAUAGCAAGGAGAAGCAAGAAGUGGUGGAGUGGUGGACAAAUUUCUGGUGAUUCGGAUUUAUUAUAAGAAGAAGAAAGGUGAACCCAAGGUUGAAGAGUGGAAGAUCGUAGGCGCGGGAGUAGUGAACGACCGAAAAUCAGUCAGGUAUUCAAAUUUUUUUGAGUCCUACGAUGAUGUAGUAACGUGUGUGAAUUGACAUGCUUGUUGAAGGACCUUACUUGUGGAUGUUGUUGGCGUACAGUAUGAUGAUCGCUUAGAGGGAUAUCACGUGAGCACAAUUUUGUGUAUAGUAAUGAGUAAGUGCAGCAUGAUAGGAGUAUUAUGUGUUAGUUUUUGAGCAUGACAGAGUGAGAGUGGGAAAGAAGGGGGAAAUCGUGCGGCACAACUGCUUGAGAAAAUGUGUGCAUGGGUUCGGGAGUUAGUAUUGAAAAAAAGGGUGCAGAUUAUAAUUAGUAUGCGGUAAGUAGGUAGUACAACGCGUUGAGUGUAGCAUACACUGCUACAUUCGUUGUUAUGCAUAAACACAAAACUGGAGAAGUAAUGCAAGUUGUGGAUCAACGGGAACAUGACAGAAACAGAAUAAAAAUGUUAUCAUGAAAUUGGGAUGGCGUUUUUGGGUCUUGAAUAGUGUAAGUUUAUUGUAUUAGUUCGUGUGCACAAACACAGUGUUGGAUAAUUGUUACAUGUUGUGGUUGAAUAGGUACGUUGAAAUAACAGAGUUCAAAUGUUUUGUACUGAGUUGUGCGUCUCAUACUUGCUAAUGGAAAUGUUAUUUUGAAAUUGAGAUGUCGUAUUUGGGUCUUGAUUGGUGUAAGUUUAUUGUAUUAGGGCGUGCGCAUGAACACAGUGUUGGAUAAUUGUUGCAUGUUGUGGUUUAACAGGUACAGAGAAAUAACAGAGUUUUACUGUUUUGUACUCAGUUGUGCUUCUUAUAUUUUCUUCUACAUUGAUGUUACAGGUUAUUGGUUUAGUUGCAUAAAGAGAGACAAGUUUCUAGGUUGGAAGUGAAUGAGUACGAGAGUAGGUUAUAAGUUGGCAAUGUGAGACAGACGGAAUAACAAAUCAUGAGGUUUAGCAUAGUCAGUGUGGAAUAACGGUUAAGAAUCUUACUAAUUAUUGUAGGUGCACAUCAUGUUGGAUAGUCAUUACAUGCAGUCAUUUAGUAGUGACACUAGCAGAAGUGCACUGUAAAAUUGGAUGAACAUACACGUAAAAUUGUUUAACGGGUUUGUUGCUUCAUUCAUAUUGUUGAAGAGUGUGAUAAAUAAAGGAGAAGGUGAUUGAAUCGAACUUGAUAGGCAGGGGAAUAGAUUAUGAAAUGACUAAAUGAGGGAUAAUUAACUAGAAAAUUUGGUAUUGAGACAAACAAAUUGUGAAAAGGAAGAUGACUUGUACAAUAAUUGUUCUGGUUGGACAUCAUCUUUGAUAGUUGUUACACGUAAUAGAUCAGAAGUUACAAUAAUAGAACUGGUCUAUAGAAUUUCAUGAAGAUACUAUAAAUUUGGAUGACCCCCUAUUCUACUGCAUUGGUAUUGUACAGUAGCAUAAUAAAUAGAAGAAGAAAUUGAUGGAUGAAAUACAAUCUGAUAGGUAGAACAACAGAUUAUGUAGAUUAGUGGCAGUUGGAAUAAAUAACAAACUGUGAAGAAUGAGUUACUGAGUGUGAGAAAAAAUGUUACAGGUUGUACUAUAACUAGCGUGACUAAUAUUUGAUGCUCAUUUAUUAUGUUUAGCAGUACUUCAUGAUAUGUUAUGACUGUGGCUGGAAAUAAAAUUUUGGAACUGAAGUGCAAUAUGUUUGUUAAAAACAUUAGUUUACAUGGCAAGAACGCGAGCAGGAAGCACACUUCAGGAAGCAGAUAGAGAAGAACUUGCCGAAACAAGUGGUGGAACAGAACACGGUGCAGCACCCACUUCAUCGAAUAGGUAAGUGGCCAGUGCUUGCGUAAGGUCUUGGCAGGUUAGAUUUGGCAUCAUUAUAAUGCAUUACAAUGUUGACUGUUCAGGGGCAGGAUGGGAAGGAAAAGAAGCAGUAAAAGGAAUGAUCGUUUAGGUGGGGAGGAAGAACUGGUUACAGCGGGAACAAGCGAGGUCGCAGAACCAGUCCCACCAUUGAAUCCAUGGAUGAAGUUCAGGUAAGAUUAUUGAAUUUGAGAAAAAAAUAAUGGUACUAAAUAGCACAUAUAACUUUGGAGUUUUGAAUGUGGACAGGAAAGAGUAUCAACACACGGUUUCGGCGAAGGGUGUUAAGCUGACCGAGGUAUGCUGUCCUAGCAAAAUAAACUGAAGAAUCAUUGAACUGAUGGGGUGCCUAAGGGAAAAAUAGUAAAACGAGCAAUUAUUUUGUGUUUAGUCUAAAGUGUUUUUUGACUUAAUUUAUUCAAUGCAGUACAAUGACAUUGCCCGGGCAGCAUAUAAUAAGUUGAGUGAGGAAUAAAUGAGGAAGCGAAAGGAGGAGUAUUUGAAAGAGAAAGAAGAGUAUAAGAAAGAAAUGGAACGUCUAGGAAAGCCGAUAUUGCGAAAAGCACGUGUUCAAAUCAAGGUAAAUACACGGCAUGAUUCAUCAAACACGGAUACGAAACUUAUAUUAGUCUAAUGCAUAUAUCUAAAAAAUGGUGUAGAAUCAGAAGUACACUAUCUGAUGCUCGCCAAAGCAGAUGUCAAGCUUCGUUUCACGAAUCGAUGAAACUAAGAAGCAGCAGAUUAGAGACAUAGGAUUUGGAGGGCUGCUAGACAUACAGUGUCACUGGAUUCCUAGUGGCAUAGCCACCUGGCUUGUUGACAACUUUAAUCCGACAUUGAGCAGUUUAAAUGUACAUGGAGAUGGUGUGCUACCUUUAACGUCAAAGGAUAUCAGUUUAAUCCUGGGGAUCCCGAACGAAGGUCCCGUUCCAGUUGAAGACACCGAUACAACCGAGAUUGGGGGAACUGGACCAAGUCGUAGGACAUACAAAUGGAAUGAGCUCCCAAAUGAGUUGGUAGCCAUGAAUGCAAGGGAAGAAUUCUUAAGACUAUUCGUGGCAUUUUGUUGUGGAUGUCUACUGGCUCCAACCACUAGAGCCGAGCACAAAAUAAAGCUUUGGAACUGUACGCAAUUAGUUGAUAGGGUAGCCAGAUUGAACUGGGCUGAGUAUGUGAGGAUCGUACUAUGCAAUAAGGUGCUAGAGGUGCAAAAGAAAAGUGAAAAGCAGCACCAAUACGUUGGCGGUUGUAUCUUCAUUCUGCUGGUAAGAUUAGACAGUUGUAGUCAUGACGAAAAUAUGCUGUAAUUGUUACACAGUGCACCAGAGAGUCAAUUAGUUUUGCGUGCCUUCAUAACUACUGUCUGUAUUUCCACAUUUUAUCGAAUUCAGUGCGAUGGAUUGAUUAGAUUAUGCUCAAAUGAAUGCGUCUACGAUGAUGUUUUAACAGUGUGGUCAAGUUUAUCUACAGUUGAAUUAAUUGCUGUAUUAUAUUGCAGAUUCAUUAUCUUGAUCGGGUACAAAUACUGAAGCAUAAAGUGUCGAGGACUACUCCGCGAGCUAAGGCAUGGACAAAUGCUCUGAUCUCUGAAAGGGAUGCACUUGAGAUUAAAAUCUUGGAGCUUAUGGAAAAGAAAAACUGGUAAAAUGUUAUAUAUUGUUGACCUCAUUUCAUAUAAAAGGUAGUGGUCUAUGUAGUGCGUGGCUUUGCUAUUGAAAUGAUUGGUUUAAUUUGUUGUUAAAGAUUGGACAAUAUGAUCCGGAAGAUACUGAAUAUGAUGGGCAGAGUACUGAACUACCCCCUGAUUUGGUAGGGAUGCUGAUGAACAGCGGGCAUGCCGAUAUCGAUGUAAGUGGGUCUGUUCCAUGAUUUAAUGAAAUUUGUUGUUUGAUUAGACGUAAUUACUGCAUAUUGUAAGAAACAUUAUUGGUUAUUGAUAGGCCUAUCAACUUCAUUCAUGUUGUAGUAUCAUGUUAAUAUGUGAUACCAAUCCCAAUAUUACAUCCCUGUCCAGAGAGUUAUUAAAAAUUAAGUCACAUGAAUGGAAAUACAGAAAUAUAGUGAUGUCUUGGCCAAUCAUGUUAUAAAUGUAUGAAGUUUCAAUGAUCCCGGGUGACCAUUUUAUUUUUUAGUAUAUAAGUUACAGUUAUAGAACCUAUGGCCGCAAUUCAAAUGUUAAAUUAAGAACCUUUGCGUAAAUGUACUAUUGUAUAUACCUGUAUUGUAUUCCAUUGUUGAGAGCAUGUGGCUCAUUUAUGGAUUGAUAAUUUCAUCAUCUAACUGCAGGCUGAGCUAAAUGAGCUGUAUAACAUUGCUGUUGUAGCCAACGAAGGAUAUUGAAGAUUGCAGAAAUCCUUUCCUCUCAGCCGAGAGCAAAAGCUUCCACUUCUGGGCCUGAAGCAUUGGACAAAGGAAAAAAACCUGUACAGGAGGACUAUACAAUGCACAAGAGUCCUGAUACCGAAGAAGAGCUGGAAUUUCAAUCUGUCAAAGAAGGGGCCAACGACGAGGAUGAUGAUGCUGAAGAAAUUGAUGCGGAAGGGUCUGAUGAAGACGAGCAUAAUGCAGUGCAGGCCGAGAAAGACGAUGCCAAUACGAGGACAAAUAUUGAAGGUAUCCCAGACCCAGAGUUGAAUGAAGAUGUAAUGGAUGUGGAGAAUCCAAUUCCUACCUCAUCAGUCGUACCCGAUAACAUCAGUCGCGGAUUGGAACAAGGGACCACCAUGACAACAACUGCGCAAGGAAGCAUUAUACAGCUUCAAGAGCAAGAGCAGGAGCAAUACAGGUCAAACGUCAUAGAACCUGCCGAAGAGGGUCAAUGUACGGUGCAACGACCUUUGCACGCUACUGCAUCGACGUCACAUCUGCUUGAGCAAGAAAUACCACGAAGGUUGCGAUCAUAUGGUCGAAAGCGGAAAGGUUGGUAUACUGUUAUUAUUCAUAAGGUUCUAAUUCAAGUAGUAUGACUGUAACAUCUAUUAUCAUAUACGGUAACUGUGUUUAUACCAUCAUGAGUCUGAACUCUCGCUUGUCAUCAUCAAAAACUUGUUAGGCAUACUGUCAUACCCUGUCCGAUGUGAAACACAUAUGAAAUUGAUGUAACAAACAUAAUUAGGCAUAUUAUGAAAGUAUGACUUUAUUCAUGUUAAGAAGUUAGUGUGUUUCGAAAAAUGGUAGUUACAUUGCGGUGGAAAAAUGUUACAAAAUAGUUAUUGAAAAUUUACAGUGUGUUUAAAAAUUGUCACCAAAAAAUUUGGUAACUUAUAGAUUAAAAAUUAGUAUGUUUGAAGAAUGUUUACAGUGUGCUUGAAGUUUGUCACAAAAUAGUUACCUGAAAGUUACAGUUUGCUCUAUUGAAUACAAAACUCCAUAUUCGGGGAUCGUUAGUCUCGAAAUUUAUUUUACAUUAUUGUACAAUAGUUACCGGAAAGUUAUACUGUGUUCGAAAGCUGUUACGAAAUAGUUAAUGGGGAAAAUGCUAUUUCAUAAUUAAUGCAAAGUCCGUAAUUCAAGAAUGUUAGUUACGAAGUGUUUGUAACUUGUUACAUUAGUGAUUAUUUAGACGAAAGUUGAAUGUUAUUGAAGACUGUUAGUCAUUAUAAUUAAUAGAUAAGUUACAGUUUCUAAAAUUAAAACAUAACUCCAUAUUAAAUUAUGGCUGUUCAAAUGUGUGUUUGUAGGUUGAUACUCACUUAUUUAUUGGUCAAAGUGCAUUUGAAAACUCUUAGAAACAGUUAAUUUAGCAUACUGUUAUGGUGUGAUUGAAGCCUGUUACAAAUUAGUUAUUGAGAAGUUAUAGUGUGUUUGAAAAUUUAUCACAACUGUUUGAAAAGUGUUAGUUACAGUGUGUUUGAAGAGUCGUACAAAUAGUUCUUAGGACAGUUACAUUGCAUUUGAAAAAUAAUCGAUUGGUGUUUGAUGACUGCUAAUUGCAUUGUGUCUGAAGAAUAAAGCAAAAUACCUUAUAAUUUGUUAGACGACAACAAAUGAAUGUCAUAUGAAAUGCAUGUUAUUUGCCUUUCGUAGGAGGCCUUGACGUUGAGGUGAAGCACAAGUCUACACGUGCAACAAAGAAGAGCACCGUUCUGCGGUCAGCAGAGUUCAUUCUACCAGCACCUGUGACAGUUAGCCUAUACGAAAAAAAUGUGGCUGCAUAUGCAUGGGAUUCGGACCAAAAUCCCAAGUAAGAUUCUUGACAAAACUAUUAAUUCGAUCUUGUGAUCCAUUCACUACAAUAAGUACGUGUGUGGUUCAUAAUAAGAUGGCAUAGAAAAACAGAUUGAAUAUGGAUGAGAUUCGAGUUCAUAUACAUUAGUCAGAUUUUCAUGUUUUGGAGUAGGAGUAAUAAUUAUUAGUAAAUCGUUUAAUUGUGUCUUGGAUGUGAUAAGGACAUACUUGUUCAAAUGUAUCAAUUUUCGCUGACUCGGCUUGACUUGAAGACACUGGAAAAUGGCAUGCAUGUGUCUAAUCGGGUCAGUAGUUCAUUACUUUUAAUGAAAAAGUUUGAUUAUGUAUCUAUUGAUUGGAAUAGUCAUACACAAACUCACCCAAGCAACACUCAAUUAUAUGUUUUGAUCACCAUUUGCCAUUGAUUAGGUGAUUGAUAUGUUUGCCCGUCUCAUGAAUUGGGGUGGAAGAACUGCCAAAAUUAGAAAGUUUGAACGCUACAUCGUAGAACCUGUUGCAGUUGUGAGUUUGAAAUUUGGACUGCAUCCUACAGUUGUGUUAAAGUUUUUCAUCAUCAUAUCUGAAUUGGUAUUACGAUCCAACGCACCAUUAUUAAUGCCUUCUAUGCACCUUUCACUCGGCUAUGUUAUUGGUUGCAGGAAGGAAAUUUAAAAAUGGGAAAAUUCGACAAGCACUCUGAUGCCAGCUUAUCAGCUAAGCUUCUAAAGCUCUUCAAGGUUCGCAAUAACAAUACGGGGGUUGAUCCUGCAAAUUGUGAUUGGGUAUGCAAUUAUCAGUUUUAAUCCAAAACUUCUUAUGUGACUGUUGAACAUUCAAAACAUGUGUGAACUCGGUUAUGUAGAAUGACCUGUCUGACCUUUUUCAUACCUCAUUUGGCGCAGAUACUUGUGCCAGUAUGCAUAGAGGGUCUUGGUUUGUCUACAACUUUGGUGUCUCAGAGAAAGAAGUGCACGUGCUAGACCCUGAUAGCACUCAAGCAAAGAGCAAAGACAUUAGUGUACUGAAUCGACUGGUAUGUUGGACAAAUUGCUAAAUGCAUUACAUGAUAUGACAGUGACACAUUAGUGGAUUGUAAUCAGUUUUACAUAAUCUUUGGUGAUAUAGAAACGUGCACUGGGUUUGGUCGUGGCGGCAAAGUUUGGCAAGGAAAUUGACUUCUCCAAUUUCGGAUUUUCUGUUGCCGAUGUCCCUCAUUACUCACCCAACAAAGUGUAAAUAGUUUGACUUCUCCCGUCAUUAUUGUUAGAGCGUGUACUAAGUUUUUUGUCCAACAUAUAUACCAUAACUGACUAAUGAGAAGACAACGUGAACAGGUGUGACAGUGGUGUUUUCGUUAUGACAUUCCUAGAGCAUUGGAGCGGAAGGUUGGCUGUUCGGCUUACAGAGGUAUUACAAUUGAUAUCCAUUUUCUCCCUACAAUCCAUCUGAAAUUGAUUUAAUGCUUGUUACCUCGACACUCAACUAUACUAAUUCCUACCUCUUGUGCUGAUAGGAAAAUGUUGGCAAGUAUCGAGUGCUAUACACAGCUCGAUUGUGUAACUCAGCGGAGAACUCAAAGUUUUCGGACAGCUUCGCAAACCUGCAAGUACCUAAACGGGCGCAGUUGAAUGUUGGUAAUGCCUGAUUUAUAAGUAUUGAUGACUGGGAGAGAAGGAAGUUCACAAAAUUGCAUUUGACGUGUUUUUGUAUAUUAUUACGUGUAUAUGAUAGCUUUUGGAUUGCUGUAACUAAUUUUAUUUUGGAGUCUACUUAGAAGGACCUUUCUUUUGAAACAGUAGUUUUGUUUUUCUGGAGACAUUAGCAUCAAUACUGAUUAGCAAUUUGUAUCGUGGUGCUGUUUAUUUAUCAUUUGUGGCCAUAAAUUAUGAAUUUAAUUCAGGUUUUUUGUUGACACUAGAAUAAUGUCAGUAAUAACAUUAACGGAGCAUUAAUUGGUUCAAAUGUGUCGUGACUCUAUGGUUCAAAGAUGCUUGUCGUGACUCUGUGCCAACUAUACUGGAACCUACCAUGAACAAUGUGUAAUUAUAGAACAAGCGCCCAAUUGUAAGGCUAUUUGUUCGUUAUGCAAUUGGAUGUAACUUGUCAGUAAAUAAUUGACAUAUGAACAAGUCAGUAAAUAAUGCAACGAUUCAUUUGACAUGGGUAUAUACAAGUUGAUGGGUAUAUACACCAAAUACUUUAAAUUUGACAAGUUGUAUGCUGAAAAUAAUAAAGGGAUUGACCCUCAUCCAAAGGGAGAAAAGGCAGGGACGAUUACCCUCUGUGACAGUUAAUGGCCAAGAUUUGGCUAAUAAAAUUUGUUAGGGUCAGAAUUUAACGUGUGCUACUCUUGUAACUGAUUACCAACAAAGGGCCACCAUGACAACAACUACACAAGGAAGCAUUAUACAGCUUCAAGAGCAAGAGCAGGAGCAAUAUGGGUCAAAUGUCAUAGAACCUGCCGAAAAAGGUCAAUCAACGGUGCAACCACCUUUGAACGUCAGUGCAUCGACGUCACAUCUACAUGAGCCAGAAAUACCACGUAUGUUGCGGUCAUAUGGUCGAAAGCGGAAAGGUUGGUAUAGUUAUAUUAUUCAUAAGGUUCUAAUUCAAGUAACAUGACUGUAACAGCUAUAUACACACACGGUAACUCUGUUUAUACCAUUAUGCUGCUACCUAUAUGGGUCUGAAUUCUCGCUAGUCAUCAUCGAAAACUUGUAGGUAUACUGUCAUAACACACCAAUGUCAGCUGCAUAUAAAGCGAACCUGACAAACUGAAUUGAGCAUAAUAAUUAAGUAUGAUUUUAUUCCAACCACAUCCAGAUAAGGCUAAUGUCAUAUUAAGCUAAUUGGGAAGUUACAGUAUGUUUGAAAAAUUGUUAGUUACAUCGUGUUUGAAGAUUGUUAUAAAAUAGUUAUUGGGAAGUUACAGUGUGUUUAAAGAUUGUUACGAAAAAAAUAAUUUUGGAAGUUACAGAUUAAAAAUUAAUACUGAUACUCAAUAUUUGAAAACUUUUUACAGUGAAUUUGUAGUUUGUUGCAAAAUUAGUUAUUGAAAAGUUACAAUUUAAAAAUUAAUACAAAUUUUCAUACAUGAAAGCUGGUAGUUACAAAGUGUUUGUAAGUUGUUACAAAAUAAUUAUUGAAAAGUUACAGGGUGUUCAAAUACUGUUACAAAAUAGUUAUUUGGGAAGUCACAGUUUCAAAAUUAAUACAAAACUUGAUAUUUGAAAACUGCUAGUUACGAUGUGUUUGGACGUUGUUACAAAAUAGUUUGAUUAUCAAUUUAUUUAUUGGAUUAGUGAUACGUAAACCCAAUUGUAACAGUCAAUUACAUGUUUUGGAAACUAUUGGAUAUUGAUUAGGUGAUUGACAUGUUUAGUCGUCCCAUGAAUUGGGGUGGAAGAACUGCCAAAAGUAGGAAGCUGGAACGCCACAUCGUUGAAUCUCUAGCAGUUGUGAGUCUGAAGUUUGGACUGCAUCCUAUUAUGUGCUAAAUUUUUUCAGCAUCAUAUUUAAAUUGGUAUUACGAACCAACACCAACAUACUAUUACUGACGUCUUCUACACUACUCCCACUCGGGAUAACCAAACACAUAACCUAACAAAUUGGUAGUUACUCGCAAAAUUUGUAUUAAUUACCAUAAAAGUACACCCAAAAAAAUGUAUUCAUUAUGUGUACGUUCUUACUUACAGCUUUGUUCGUCCUAAGUUACAACAUUCAAGGAAAUUAGUUGUCAAAUUGAAAAUCUUUAAUAAAGCAUCAGGAGCAGAAGGAGGUGCUUAUUCAGGUACUAUCACAUUGUGGGUCAUUGAAUGACCAAGGCUAUUCAGUUUUACACAUCUGACUCUGGGCCAAAAAAUUGACAUUCAUUGUGAGAUUUUAUGCACAAUGUUUUACGUAUUACUGUGUAUGCACAUUGUCGAAAUUAAGGUCACUGAUGUGUAACUCUGUAUUCACAUCGGUACCCUUAAUGUUGCAAUACAGGUCUUACCAUGAUAAAAACUGUAAAAUUUAUUUUAUUUUCUGAUGCUAAUUAGUGACACGACGUAACACUUAUUAAGAGUAUCGAUACUAAAAAUAUAGUUCAACAUUUUGUCCAUACGAUUGACAAACUGUUCAUAUAUUGUUACAAUUCGUAAGUUCUUAUUUACCUCUUUGUUCGUUCUGAGUUACAACAUAUAUAAAAUUUCUAGUCGAAUUUGAAAUCUCCUAUAGAGCAUUGGAGCAGAAGGAGGUACGAACCGCUCAUAGAGGUAGUAAAUUUGGGUCAUACACUGACCAAGGCCAUAGAGUGUUACACAUCUGACUCUUGGCUAAGAAACUGUUGUUUUGGGCUGUCGUACCUCCCUGUGACAGUGUAACUGUGUAUGCACACAGUGAAACGUACAUGAAUCUAAUGUGUAACUCUGUAUAUAGGUGCUCUCUUAAAAGAUGGUGUACAGGACCAAAACAUGAUAAAAGCUGCAAACAUGUGUUGAAGUCUGUAAACGAUUAGCAACAGCACGUAACACGUAUAUUCACUGUCGGUACUACAAAUCUGGCGCUUUGUACGUAACAAAAGUUAUCCGACAUGGUUCAGGCACUGCAUGUGGGUCUACAGUCUCUUCUCCCGUGAUGUACUAGUUGCCCUCAUAUGCGUUCAGGAAGAUCUCACUAUUUUAAUGAGAUGUUCGAGAAGGUCUCGCUACGCAAUAUUUUGAGGUUCGAAACGAUCAUCGUAACUAUUCUCAAUAGAUACUUAAUAAAGUGUCUAAGAAAUUUAAUGUGUCAGUGGGAGGAAUUAUCGUUUCUGCCAAGGGCAAUAGCACAAACAAGAGAAGAGGAAAGGUUCAUCGAAUAUUAACUAGUUGUAUUAUCACUAGUUGUAAUAUCGGGGAAUAUCUAGUUGGAAUAUUAUUCAGUUUUAAAUAGAGCAGACGAAAAGCUGCUGAUUGCAAAUUCAUUAGUUAUAAUAAAUUGUAACAUAAAGCUAACUGGUUGUAACGCAAUCCGUACAUAGUGAAAUGUGCAGGUCACUUAUGUGUAACUGUUUAUCCACAUGACCCUUAAUAUUGAUGUACAGGUCAUUUCAUGACAAAAGCUGCAUAAUUUGUUUUAUUGUCUGAACAGAUGUGACACAGUUCAAUGGCAUGCAUCGAACUCUACAGCUUCCACUGCCAUGACAAAAUUGUUUGCCCUCAUAUGCAUUGUCCAGUGAUAUUUUAGCACAUUGUUCGGGUCCGACGGACUAUAAAAGGGCGCGAGUGCAGUAGUAUUUCCCUCAACAACAAAAAUUUUUCCGUCCACCUUUCAUUUUAAAUUACUUCACACUUCCCAUAUCAUUCUACUGAAGGGUGGCAAUGAACCCGUGCCUGAAAUUUAUUAUUAGUAUUCUUCAACCCGCCUCUAACUUCAAUUGCAGUGUCAUCAAUAGAGGGUUCACACAAAAAUCAAGUUCUUGGGUGCCAAAUAGCAGCCAGUAGGUUGUAUGAUGUUCGAGAAGAUCUCGCUAAUUUAAUGAGAUGUUCGAGAAGGCCUCGCUACAUCAAUUGUUUUGGGGUUCGAAUCGACCAUCUUUAUGUUCUCAUUAGACACUUAUUAAAGUGUCUAAUGAAAAUUUAUGUGUUGGGGGGAGGACUUGUUGUUUGUGCCAAGUGCAAUUGCACAAACAAGAGAAGAGGAAAGGUUCAUCGGUUAUUAACUAGUUGUAGUAUCACUAGUUGUAAUAUCAGAAAAUUUCUAGUUGUAAUAUCACUAGUUUUAACUAGAUAAAACGAAAAACUGCCGAUUGCAAAUUCAUUAGUUGUAAUGAAUUGUAACAUAUAUAUAACUAGUUGUAACUCAAAAUGGAACAUGGCGUAAUCAAAAUUUGUGGCAUUUUAAAUAUUAGUUACCCUACUUUCAAAUUACUUGUCCCAACGAAGUAUAAUGUUCUUCUGCGAAACUGUUACUUAUUAUGUGGUCACGUGGAACCAAGCCGAGCCGCCAAUUGUAAGUUCAUUUCUGUACUGAAGGAAUACUACCUAUUGAAGUGCCUGCAAUACUAUCUGUAAUACUUAUCAUUAAUACAAUUAUAAACAAAUUGUCUAAGUUUUAACAUACAAGCAAAUGACAAGGUGUCUGUACAAGCACAUCAAUAAGCGGUAACAGCUUAUUAAUUUCUUGUAAUGUACAUAUGUUGGUUGUAACUUCUUGUUACACUUGAAAAGUAAGGUGACUGACGUAUAAUUGGGUAUUCACGACCCAAUUGUUGUUGGAAUACAGGUCAUGAUCCAAUCGAAUUGAACCAUUAUUUCAUCUACACACUAUACAUUUGACCAAACGUUGAAUCUAUUCUCUCGUUAAUAGGUGGUUGUCAUGCCUUCAUCUACUCACCCAGGAGUACUAUCCCGUGGAGAACAGCAUGAAAUGACGCAGCAAGCAGUUGGUCAAGUUGCCAGAAGAAACCAUUUACUAUGCAUGAUCUGAAACAGGUGCUCCGUUAAAAAUUUGUACCUCUUUUUUUCUCCCACCUAUUUCUUUAUCAGUAGAUCCUUUCUUUCAUCCAACCAAAAAGUAGUAGGUAUCAGCAUAGUCAUGCAAUCCACAAACGAAGGAUCUCAUACAAGCUCACCAUCAAAUGUUCGGCAAAAAAGACGGAAAGUAUCUUUGGGUCCAACAAAUGUCAUCAGCAAGUACGAAACACCAGAUGGGAGGAUUUUAUAUGGUACCAAACGCGAGUUCAAGAACGCUCCACUUAACACCAACAAUUCUCUCGGACUAGCUGGUCACAUUAUUAACAAUACCAUCAAUAAUCAUCGACCGUCUGGCUAUUCUGUUAUGGACCAUGAACCCAUAUGGGAGCUUGUUCGUGAGCGAAGAAUGGAAUUAAAGGUAUUUUGUCGCUGGCAUGACCUCCGCGUCCCGAGAACAAGGUCGGCGGAUCUUGUUAUAGGACCACAAGCCAAUGAUGCAAACGUAUUACAUAGACUACAGCGAGAAGUUAUGCAGAUGGAGCGUAGGCUUCACAGGUUUCACGAGAUCCAAGCCAUAAAAAGACAUGGUAUUGGAAAACAUUUUGAUGUUCAGCACAUUUUAGCAGAUCCCAUGCUUAUAUCCGAUCCGGACCUAUCUGAUUUUACUGAAUCAAGCGACGAUGACUUUCAAAGGUACAUACCCCAUUGUCUAAUGCAUGACGGCGUUCCCAGGUGUUGUAUGGGAUACAACUGAUAACAAGGGAUGUAGUUCAAUAUUUGUUAGGGUAGCGGUAAAACUAUACUCAUUAUAAUCUCUACUCAAACAAAUUGCUUACCAUAUUUGGAUAUUAAUCAUGCCUGUUAAACAGUUGUAACUAGUUGUAACGUAACAGUAACAGAUCCCUAACUGGUUGUAACCCAUUGUGUACUGUUCGUUCUUUCUUUUUGUUGCAUUGUAAAACUUCAUUUUAACGUUACAAAUUAGUUCUCCAAGGAAUCAUUUUCUUAUGCGCACCUAUUACCAACAUGUGGUCGUGACCUGGCUUGACCAUAAUUUAAUUAAUCUAAAAACUUGUAAUACCAAUUGAUGUGCUUGUGAUAUAUCAUGUCAAUGAUGCACUAAAUUCGUCAAGCGAUGCAAAACAAAUGGCCUAAAUGAUAAUGUUUUAUAAAAAUAGCCCAAUAAUAAUUCGAAUUUAUCAUCAUAACAAAAUCAAGACAAUUUAGACUUUAGAUUGUGUUAUCUUAUACAUCGUACCUUUGAUGGUGCGAUCUAUGCCAAUAAAUAUGUUAUUAAGGUAUGCAAUUGAAUGUAGUAGAAUGAUAUACAUAUCAUGACUACCAUUCAACUGUUAUGGUCGAUUUAGUGAAAAAUAUCCGAUUACAAAAAAUACGUUCAAUUCUAUUGUAAAAUUGUUAUUUCAAUUUUCUACCAACUUUAUAAUUUUCUAACAAUUUUAUACAACCCAAUACAAACUAUUGAUGACUACUAACACUAGAUGCGAUUACAAUUGUAAUCCACUUGUUUAAAUUUGAAAAGAGUGAAAUAUCAAUGGUGCCUGUAUAACCUCGUCAAUAAGUUGUAACAGCUUAUUAACUGCUUGUAACGUACAUAUGCAACAUUCUCAGGUUGGGACAACCACUUAAUGUCCCGUUCAAAAUGUAUAGUUACAUAUCAUUCAUCAACCUCAUUCUGGGGGGAGGCGACGUCAGCGCGUAGUUGCAAUCCCUGUGUGUUAUUUCUUCCCUGAAAUGCGUAACGAUGGCAAAUCAGCAAAUAUUAUUAAUAAAAUAUACGAUUAAUGAUAUACGAUGUCCAAGUCUCCAAUUAAUAACAUUACAUAAAUAUGUGCUGUAACGAUAAAAGUUUGUCACCUGAGGUGAUGGUGCAAAUACAUGAUAUGCAUCAACAUCAUAGUGUGUUGAAAUUGCCCCACGCUCCUCCUACAUUAUAUAGUAUAAGUAAUCGACUGUCAACAAAUCAUUACCAGUGCCUAUAUUGCUCACUUAUAAAGUUAAAUUGGACUAGACAUUAUAACAAAAAUGAUAUAUCAGACCAUUAAGACAUCUCUGAUGGAGUUAUGCUUGGAAAAAAUAGAAAAUCUGGGAUGCAUCCAUUCUGUAGGGACACUUGCAGGAGGCCCCUGAUUAGCCAAACGGUGGACCUUGGAAUAAUAAAAAAUAAUACGUUAUUAAAGCGAGCAUACGUUAACUACAUAAUUUGCAUGAUUUGACAGCCUUCGGGAGCCCACCGUUACAAUUAAAGAAAAAAAGGUAGCUCUACUACAUGAACAAGAAGGUUUUAUUUUAACUACUAAAUGUAUGCAUACCGUUUGACUUUCAUCGAUAUCGGGAGCAACAACAUUUGGAGGGCCAUUCACUGUCUGAAUCAUUGAAUGCGUCUACAAGUUUCGUAUGGGCCAAAUCAUUGUAUAAGACAAACAAAAUACGUAUAUCAGGAGGGAUGACGGCCGUAACAACAUUAUCACACAAUGUAACAUCAAUGUAACUAUUUAUGCUGUUAGAAACAUCCAAAUAAAAGUAAGAGUCAUGUCCAUUUUAUACUAACCGAAACAGAGUCAGUAGAUGAACGGCAUCCCAUAAACAUGUAUUCCUCAAAUGAAAUCGAUGUCGGCUCCGAUUCUGAGACCUACAGUAUUGACACGGCAAUAAUAUUAUUUCAUAAUGAAUGUUACCUAAACUUUAGUUAAUAGUAUAACAAUAACUUAGUUUUAGCAUAAAUGUUCCCCAAGUACCAAAAUUUGAUCCAUACCGUAGUCUGUGUAGUUCUUGAUAAUCUAGAUUUUCUUUUUACUCUGUCAAAUUUAUCGACCCAACUUCGCAUCACUCUACUUUUCUUCCUACCACCUCGUUUUUUAAUGCCUCUUGCGACUACUGCCCCCUCAUUUCAUUUACAAUUUCAAUUUUAACUCGUUCCUCCAUAUUCAGAUUUUUUUGAUUUUGCAAAGGUUGCUCUUCGCUUUCUGAGAGGAGGAGCUCAACUCUCUUUGACAAAUCGGAUAUGACAGUGAUUGCUACUUUGCUGGUGUCCUCCGACAUUGCUGCUCGAGUUGCGACCUUAAUCAUGGCUGAAGCGAGCUCCCGAUAACGAGUUGAAAUCAUUACUUUAGGAUCAGCCACAACUUCCUGUCCUCGCCGAUCAAAACAGUCUCCAGCCCGAGCUCUUUUUGUCCAUCGCCUCUUAAUGUAUUCAGGAGGAAUUAUUUUUAUGCCCACGGUAUCAAACACCUUCAACGCGUGCCCACAUAAAAUGCCUUCAUUCUCAUAUUUUUUACAACUGCAAUGUACACUUAGAUCAUUCCGAUUGAAUACUACUGUUCUUUCAGGUCCUCCAUCAUACCUCAUGACGGCAAACUCCACAAACAUCGCUGCAUCUUGUUGUCUCAAUAUAACCAUAGUUGUUGACUCGCCAUAUUCAUUUUGGAAUGCAACAAAUACGGUUGGUGAAUACGUCUCUGAUGCAUGCACAAGCAUAGGUGUUUGCCUUAACCCUACCAUGGGGAACUUUUGCCUCAUUUCAUAUUCUGCAAUCAGUUCAUUAUGUCUCUUUUUAUCAACCACCCGAUUGAAAUGUCUAAAGAACUGCACAAGGUCAUGAUCCAGUUUCAAAUGAUUUUUAAUUGUUGCAUUUAGGCUUUCGCUGAAUUGGGUGCUUCGCAUUCCCGCGGUCUAUCUUUCUUUCAUCAUGCACCUUGCCCAUUUAUCACGAAUUUUAUACAACCCGGAGAGCCAUUCAUUAUUUUUAAGAUUGUGUUUCUUCACCAUCGCCUCCCACACCCUAUUGAAUUGUUCCACUUCUUCAAACUCAUUGUAGACACCAAAUUUUUAAGGUAUUUUCGUUUACUAUUAUUUUUAUUUUUGAUUAAUUUUAUUUACUUUUAGUCUUUUAUUUUUGAAGUCAUUUAAUUAAACUUUAAUCAUUUAAUCAUUUAAUUGUUAUUUUGUUUGUUUCGAUUCUAGGUUUCUAUUUUAUUUGAUUUUUUUGUUUUGAUUCGUGUCUUACUUUAAUUGAAUUAAGAGUUUUUGCACCAAAUUUUCGAAAAAAAAAGAAAAAAAAAGGGAAAAGAAAAAAGAAAUAAAAAAAAUCAAAAGGACAAGAACAAGACACCUAAGCCUGUUCUGGAGUUUGAAAUCUUGACCUUUCAUCUUAGGUUUAGUUUUCUUUGGGGGUGCCUUUAAAAUGAAAACAGCCGCAAGAGAGAGAGGGGAGGUUGGAUGAAGAUUGGGGGGAUUGAGGAAAAAGAAAAACAGACGGGCAAGAAAAGGGAAUAAGGAGAUUGGGAGGCUGCGGGGGAAUGAGAAAAUGAAAAAGAAAAACAAGAAGGAUCGGGGGGGAAAGGAAUGAAAAAGAGAGCAAAGAGAAGGCAGAAAAGGAACGGAGAGAUUUUGGGCAAAGAAAAAACAGAGCUAAGGAAAUAAAGUGAGAACAGAGCAAAAAGGAAAAAUGGAGGGGGUUUCGUCUGAGAGCAAAAGGGAAAAAUGAAAGCUUCGGUGAAGAAAAAAAAAGAGGGGGGAGGUCGGCUAGAAAAAAAAGAGAAGAAAAACAGAGAAGGAGGCUCUCGGUUGAGGGGAGCAAAAACCCAGAAAAAACAGAGAAUAGGGGCGGCGGAAGGAUUGAAGACUGAAAAAGGGCUACGGGAAACCAAGGAAAAAAGGAUCGGAAAAAGAGGGGAGUUGGGAAAUAGAACCAGAACAAGAAAAUCUGGAAAAAUUGAGAAGGGAGGUUUUCGGACAAAGUUGAGGGCCGAGAGAGCGGAAGUUGAAAAGGAAUGGCCGGCUAGGAGAGAAAAAGGAGCAGCGGAGAACCAAAGAAAAGCUGAAGAUUUGGGGGGACAACGGAGGGAAAACAGAAAAAGGGCAAGCUGAGGAAAAGAGAAUCAAAUAGCCGAACGGAGAGUCACCCAAGCCACCACCAGUCUGCAUCCGCAUCCGCUGCUGCUGCUGUCUGCCUUGUCACCACCGCGCACAACCUCCUUGACCUCUGCCUUUCUCUGCAACUCCAGACGAAAGCUCUCAGACGAAGUCAGACUUCGUCAUCUUCCAAUCCCAAUUCACCGUUUUCAUCUUCGUCCUAGUCGCCGUCGCUGCCGCUCAAGCAAGAGCACCGUAAGUUGGCCCUUCUCCUUUGAAUAUCAGUUCCUUCCCAAGCCCUCUGAGCAUGACUGUCGUGGUUUCAUCUAGUACAAUUCUCUUGCUAAUUGUCCCCAAUUUUUGAAUAUACGUGUUGCAAAAUGAUGUCUGGAAUUAGAUUUCGUUGUUUCUAAACAAUUUUGGGACAGAUUGUAGUCUCGAUUGAGAAUAGGUUUGCCGAAAUUUUUAAUGCUCAUUUGGUGCUUGAUGAAAUGACUGAGUGAAAGUUUUACUUGAAGAUGAUUUCGCCCGCGUUUUACAUGUGAAAAAUGAAUGAACACUCGGAUGAUUUUUUGCUUGUCCGAACAUAAGGAACAAUUUUUCAUGGCAGAAAGCUACGUUGGUCCAUUGCACUCUUUGCUGUUUUUGUCUCUAUGCUUGAAUUCGAGUUAAUGUUAUGAGAGGGAAUGGCUAGAGUUGAGACCGAAUUGUUGAUAUUGCUUGCUGAUCUCUUGUUCAAAACCUGGAUUAUAUGAUCUUGCAAGGGGCUUUGAAAUCACGUGUUUAAACUACUGCAGUGUCCUUUUUCCUAUCUAUGCAAUUUUUGAAUCCUAACUUGAGAUAUGUUUUAGAACUUUAUUUGGGAAUUCAUGUGGUUUUAGUCGCUGUGUGUGCAGGAAUGCAUGAACGUUCUUUUGGCUUCGUUUGUGCAUAAUCUGGGUAGAAAAUUGCUGGGGGAUGUAUAGUGUACAGUUUGGUUUGGAUGCUAAAGACGUAUAAAGGGUCAUUUUAAUUCGGGAAAGUUGCAGCAUGAGUUCGUUAAACUUGAAAAGAGGUAGAAGAAAUUAGUGAAGAAAAGUGGCAUGUUCUGUUUCCAAUCUAAACUUUUCGUUGUUUGUUCGGAUGUUGAAAUCUUUUUCUGGUUUUGUUGCUGAAGCUUUUAGUUUGAUGUAAAUCUGUGGUUUGUCAUCCAGUUGAUAUGCCAUAUGAACGUCCAUCCUAAGUUUCUUCCAAUACGUUUGCUGCAUUUUAUGUUUAGCUGCUGUGAUUGGGUUUUCUAGGGAUAGAUGUUUGUGUUGGGGUGAUGUUAAUUGAAUGAUUUGAAACUUUGUUGAUUUUAGGAUGAUAAACUGGGAAGUUUGGCUUGAGUUUUGCAUUUAAUCUACCUGGUAGAGUAAGAAGGCAGGUCGCGGAAGUGAAAUGGCAGAAGCAUUGUUAAUAAAAUUGCAGAAGAGAACUGCUUUUCGUGAACUUGCAUGGGUUUCUCUAAAGAAUUGCAAUUUAACCCCUCAAUUUCUGUCUGAUUUCAUUGUGGUCCAAAACUAAAAAAUAUCAAAUUGAUUUGGCCCUUCAAAGUUUCAAUUUGCCUUUUAUAUUUUUAGUGAGUUGUCGAGUAGAUUAAUUCUGAGAUUAUGAUAUGAUUAGGUUUAAAUGUUUUUAGCUAUCUUAUUAUUUUUGAUGGGCUUAACAAAAAUUAGUUAGGAAUUGGGUUAGGUUUAUUUUGACUGGGUCUUGAUGGUGGUUUGUUUGUUUGGAUUGGGUUUUGUUUUGCUUAUUUCCUGGGUUAGUAAUUUGGGCUCAAGAGUUAAAGGCCAUGCAUUUUGUUGGGUUUUACUUGAUAAAAAUGAUAGGCUGGCCCAUCCCAUUUGCUUUGGAUUUUCAAAUAGGCUAGGAAAGUUUUGGCCUAAGAAAUAAAUAAAAUGGCCCAAUGGCCUGUUUGAUUAAGAAUUUGGUAAUUGGAUUUGCGAAUCAGUCCCUGGAUUUUUCUUUAUUCUACUAUGGCUCUAUAAACUUUUAAUCUCUUUCAAUUAGGUCCUUAACAUAAUUGUGAAUAGGUCCUUGAACUUUAUUUUUCUUUAAUUUUGACCCCAAAGCUUUGUUAAUUUGUGCACUUAAGUCCCUCUUUGUUUUAUACUCUUAAAAGUAGGUUGUUUAUAUGUUUCAAUUGAUUCAAUUUUAUGUUUAUUUUUAUCUUUUGUGAUUACUUAUUAAUUAAAGUGGUGCCUUGACCCUUUCUUUGUUUUUGGAGGGUAAAUAAGUAGUUUUUGGAGGGCUUCAAUUCAAGGGAGGUACACCCUAUCCCUUAUUUCUUACUUUAUUUGACCUUAUAUGCCUUAUGUGACUUUAUGUGCUCAAUUGCAUGCCAUUUGAAUGCCUUCAUUUUAUUUAUCUAUUUAUUCACUUUAUUUGUUUUAAUUUAGUAUUUUUAUUUUAUUUUAGUUCAAUUUUUGAUCAUUUGAAAGGCACUUGAAUGCCACAAUUGUAAUAGUUAGGCUAUUAUAUCAUUUCAUUUAAUUCCUUCCCUCUUAGAUUGUAGUAGGCUUCCCCCCGAAUGUAAUAGUUAGGGAUUUAUUUGUUUUACUUGCCUUAUAUGUGUUGCAUGCCUAUGUGCUAUGUGUUACCGCUUUCUUAGGACGUGCAUCUAGAUAUCAUGCCUAUGUGUUAUGUGUCUUAUGUGAUUUAUGUGCUUAUUUGCUUUAUUAUGCUUUAUCUGAUUUUCUUAGACUGUAAUAAAUGCACGUUAUCACACUAGUCCAAUGCUAGCUGUGAUUCCUUUCCCGUCACAACACUAGUCCAACAUUAGUUGUGAUUUUUUGUUCCGAUUUCCCAUUUGUCCAAUGCUAGUAAGGAUCCAUAGACAUGGGCUAGUCCAAUGCUAGACUCUUAGGGACCUUCCUCAUUAUAUCAUAUUUGUAUGAUUACAUUACACUUCAUGCAUAUUUUUUCAUUUUUAGGAUCUUUAUCAUUUUCACAUAAUAUUUCCUCUAAUAAAAUAUCUCUUACCCCUAUGUAUAUAUAACAUUUAGAUUUGCAUCUCAUUUAGAAAAUUAGGGGGUAGAUUAGUGCAUUUUGCCUGAUUAGACUAGAGAUAACCCCUUGGAUAUGGGAUAUGGACGAGUUUGGCUUUUUCUAGUCUUAGCACGCUCGUACUCCCUCUAUUAAAGGGAAAAUUGAGUCACAAACAUUAGUCCCCCGUACCCGACAUGAUGCAUUCCCUUAGGUCACGUAUAUUUAUAAUUAUUUUAUUUCUUUUCUUUUCUUGGAGUCUCAUACUUUUGCAUUAUUCGUGACCUCUCCAAAGAGUCGUUAUUUGGGCAUCACAAUUAAUGUGAUUGGCACCACUCAAGUUUUGAAGAGAAAUUUUGCCCCCCGAUACCCCCCCUAGGUCUAGGGUUUGCAUUCAUAUAGUACAUCUAAAUGUGAUAAAUCUUCUGGGUUAAAAAUAAGAAAAUCCUUGACUAAAUCACACAACUAGCCUUGGCUAGGUCGAAGGGGUGCCUUGGAUUUUUAUCCUUGCCUUCCCCUUCAUCAAAUGUGACUCCCGAACCUUUUCUUUGAUUUUCAUAGACUAGCAGUCGUUUAAAAGGGAUUUUUUCCUACUUUUUCCUUUUAAAAUUCAUUUUAGGUGACUUGGUACACCUUAACUCUAUACCAAGUGGCGACUCCAUUUUUCAUUCAAAAAACCCUUUUUAAACUAUAUUUUGGGUCAAAUCGUCGCAUUUUCAAGUCCCAUUUAGACCCAUAUUUUUUUCAUUUUCUUUGUAAAUCAAAUUCAUUUUUUCAAACAAAAAUUCACUUUUUAAACACAUUUAUUUUUCUUGUAAAAAUGGGGCGCGACACUCAUACAUGCAGGCACCAAACAUGUAUGGAAGAUCACUAUUUUCCUUGUAGUGAUUGCCAAGAUGUUUCAUAAAAUUACGCCUUAUGUGAAACGUACAUAGACCGUGAAAUGUUUCAGGCAUAACAACUGAAAGAGCGGCUGCCAUGGCAUGAUCUUGGUCGGUUAGUAUGGUACUUGGACGCUUUCCGCACAUUGCUUCUAGAAAUGUACCAAAUACCCAUUUGAAAGAAUCUAUAGUCUCAUCAUACAUAAGGGCAGCACCGAAUAUCACAAUUUGCCUAUGUUGGUUAAAACCCACAAACACUCCAAGUGGCCGGUAUUCUUUAUUUGUUUUGUAGGUUGUGUCGAAUGUGACUACGUCUCCAAAAAAUUUGUAGUCAAUUAACAUUCCUGCAUCAGCCCAAAAGAUAUUCGUUAUCUGCUCUUCACAGUCCAGCUGUACGGCAUGAAAAAAUGAUAGAUUCUCGAGUGUUUGCUCUUGAAAAUAAUUCAGCAUGCUACCUGCUUCUCCAUAUUUUAAACUCCUUUCCCAUCGAGUACGAAGAUAUCGUUUCAGGUCUUCCCGAGUAUAUCCCACAUUUUCCAUCCCACCUGCCUCCUUUUCCAUAAGCUCAUGGCUCUGUUUCAAUGAAAGCCCAGCGUCCUCACUUAUUUCAGCUUGGAAUCCUUGAGCCUCGCUCACUUUUCUUUGUGAUGGCAUCAUGUGCGCACAUUGAGCAAUGUGCAACUCAUGGUUAUGUUCUAAAAUAAUAUCAUGCACACGGUACUUCAUUGUUCCUCUAAACAACACAAUAACCAUUUUAGCUCCACACCCUGUUUUCGUCGGAGCUCGUGUCCUCUUUGGCAUCACAUCACCUUCGUACUUGCGCUUCACACCUUCCUUGCAGCAACUAUAUCUCCUAGAUGUGGUCACGCCGUCUUUGUCUUUAUUCAGAUAGUCUUUACGUACACUAAAACCCAUUUUAAAGGCAUAUUUGUUGUAAAACUUGUACGCAUCCUCUUCGCUGUUGAACUCCAUUCCUAACUCAGGGGUCCCAUCUUCUGCCAAUUUGCUGCAAUCCAUUACUUCUGAUCCUGCCAAUUAUGCAUCAAACACCCUAAUUUGCAACACUUCAUGAAUUGUAUGUACAUAAACGACAACAUAAAUGUAUAUUACCAUUCAUAAUGUGUUAUGAAUCAUACAUUACUCAUAUACCAAAUUCUAUUAUUACGCUAUCAAUAUGAUUAAUGAUUCACAUCAUCUUACUUUUACUCUAAGACAAUCUGUGUACAAAUACAACUCCAUGUACACUAACUUAUACGGAUUGUAAUGUAUAGGUCACACGAUGUAAGUCUAUUUUAACUGUAUGUACAUCCACGCUGGUGAUUAUAUUUUGAUUCUAGAUUCUUUAGCUCACUGGACCUUAUGUCAUUCGUUAAUGACAACCGCAUAAGCCAACUCCGCAUUUUCUACUAUUUCUAUAUUUUGAGGGCCAAACAAUCACUUUCUAGUCAUUGUAAUAUAUUUUUUACAUCAUGUAAUUUACUUACAAUACAAGGUUCACCCAUUUAUUAUUCACAUAUAUGUCUUUUCCUCAGUUUCACCUCAUUCAACUCUACAUCUCUAUUUUAUACACACUACACGGUCAAGAGAGGGACAAACUAAUAUUACUCCAUGAGCAUGGACCAAUUACUAGAUGCACAAUGAUUCAUAUCAAUUGUAAUACAGUGGCUAUAACAUGUAACUAAUUUACAACAAGAUGUACAUUCAUUCACUUGUUAAAUGUGACUUUGUUUCUCUCAUCUUUCCCUAAUUCCGUUCGAUGGUUUACUUGAAUACAUACCCCUAGGUCUUCCAAAAACUACUAUCCCUUUAUAGUUCAUCACUGAAAAACUAAAUGGUCACACACACAGAUACGGUACAUAUAUUUAAUAUAGUACAAAUUCACUAUUCUUGUAUCAUCUUCAUAUUAUGUCUUCAGUGACUCUAAUUUCAUCCUUCAUUUAACAGAUGUGCAUUUGGGUGACAAAUUAUUGGCCACAGUUACUGACAUGGUUCAGUCAUGUUACCUUGGUCUGCUAAUACGCUUCACGUUUCACCGAAGUCGGAGAGCGUAGCUGCAUCUGCUAUUAAGUUGAAGGACAAAAUCUGGCUUCGUGAGAUUUUGUCCUUCCUCUGUUUGCUUCUACCUUACCGCCUGCCUUGCGCGCAUUCAAAAUAGAUACAAUACUCUUAUACCCAGUUGAAAACCACAGCUGCUUCUGCUAUUCAGUUUUCCGUCCAAACUUUGGUUUCAUCUCUGUUUGCUUCUACCUUGCCGCCUGUCUUUCCACUCACUUUUCUGUCAAUUGCUAUUUUCAUCAGAGUAGACUACACUCACUUCACCUAGAAAGAGCUAGUAAGUCGAAUUUCACUCGAACUUCAGCUUUCUACCUUCAGUGAGCGGUUGGUCAGACUGUCAGAGUAGAGCUCCUUCAGAAGCACGCCAAGACUCUUCCCUCAGUUUUGUUUUCUGCGGCUAAUUCAAAAUUUUAACUUGAAUUUCAAAAUCUACUUCUCUUCCAUUUGCUCCGUUUGCUCACGUUUGGAAGUCAACAUUUUUUUAUUUGGAACGGUGUCGUUUUUCUGCCCUGCUUCAGCCUUGCUGACUUGGCUUAUUUGUCUCCUCACGUUUUUUAUUGUGAGGAGACCGUUCAGGAGCGAUCGUCUGAGGACCGCUCCUGCCCUGUAUCCGGGACUAGGAAGCAGUGAAGAAGCUGUCUGACCUGGUAAGGUUGAAAGAUGUAAACGAAUCGAGUCGAUAGAAUUUUGAUUUAAUCGAGGCGAGUCUCAACCUAGGUUUAUGAAACUCAAACUUGAACUCGAGUUCAACGAAAUCAAAAUGUCAAGCUCGAGCUUAAAAAAAUAAAAUAAAAUAUUAGGAAUAUAUAUAUGUAAUUUUACUAUUAAAAUAAAAAAAUUAAUAUUUAUAUAUUAAUAUAUAUAAAUAUAAUCAAACUCACGAGUUAACAAAAUUAAUAUUUUUGAACUCGAGUUCGAUUAGGUUAGCUCGAACUCGACUCAAGUUCGAUGUUGAUCGAGCUCGACUCGAGCUCGGACUUGAGCCGCUUGCGAUCGACUCACAAGUGGCUCAAUUUGUUUACAGCCUAGAAAGGUUGACCAAUUACGAGUGAUAUAGGAAAUUGUUUGCGUCGGUCCAUAUUCAUCAAAUGUUGACCGGAAAUUGUAUAUAUAUACAGGGAGAGUUGCAGUUUUAGUACCCAAUGUUUGGCCCAUGUAUCAAAUUAGUCUUCAAUGUAUCGCUUAAAACAAAUCUGGUCCCCAAGGUUUACGAUUUUAGAUAGAUUUAAGACAAUUAGCGGAAAUAGACCAAUGAAUAAUGGUCAACAUCAAAUUGCUUCUAGUCAAUAAUUUUUACUUUACACUUCUAGUCCUCAAUGUUUUGAUUUCGAAUUAUUAUCUUCUUUUAAAUUUGAAACAAUGAUAUUAAGGAUUUAGUAUUAAAUGAGAUGUAAAUUAUAGGGUGAUAGGAAUUUAAUUAAACUUCUCUUUCCUUUUCUUUUUAUUUAUUUAUUUAUGCCAAUAGUAUCCCAUAUGUUUCUUUUCUUUUGCAUAGUUAGUCUAAAAGUUGUUAAAAUAUAUAUGUCUUAUUGUUUCUCACUAUUAAUAAUUAAUGACUAGGAGCUUUAUUUUUUUUUAUGAUAACUAAAAAACUUAAUUAAGUUUCCUUUUGAAUAUAUACUUUUUGUAAUUAAUUUGAUUUUUUUUACAUUUUAAUAGGUUAACAAUUGAGUUUGAAAUGAAAUUGAUAUUUUGUAGAUAUUAAAAUAAAUCAUUUAAAUCUACAGUAUUGGAACAUUAGAUUUUAAUUUAUGGGAAAGACAACAAGAAAUAAAAGAAAGUUUUCUAAAGAAUUCGUAUAAUCACUUCACAUUGAUACUUAUUUUCACUAAUUUUUAUAAGUACAACGGCUAAUUACAAAAAUUUGAAAUCUACAUGCACAAAACAUGCAACAAUUUGUGUAGUAGUAAUUAUAAUAAAAUUAAAUUAUAAAACUAGAAUUCUCAUUUUCUUCUACUACUUUAUAUUUUAUUUAUUAUUGGUAUAUUGUCAUCCAAAUUAUAAUUUAUUUAACAAAGAUAUAUAUAUAGGCUACCAUUAUGCUAUGUCAAUAUAAUGUGUUUUCAUGAAAUUUUUAGAAAUUUAGAACAUAUUUGUUGUAUAUUUAAUUUAAUUCAUAUAUUAUUUUAUUUUAAAAGCUCUAGUUGUAAGUAAAAACCCAUGGGACCUUAAUGAUCCAAACUUGAAAUACUAGGAACUAGAAAUACAAAUUCAAAACUUUCGACUAAUGCCAAUUUGAUGUUGACCAUUAGUUAUGAUGAUUUUCCAUUAGUUGACCUAAAGCUGUCUAAAAUCACGAACUUUGGGGACUAAAUUUGUUUUUGUUAAAAUAUUGAGGACUAAUUUGGCAUAUAGGCUAAACAUUCAGGGAACAAAACUAUAUUUCUCCCAAAUAGAUAAUCCCUUCUGUUAUGAGAUUAUUAGAUCUUCCCUUACCUAAUUUGCCACAUGCUUUACUUUCCAUUUUGAAUGUAUGAAUUUCAUUGGGUAAAUUCCAUUUUGACCUCCUAAUUUAUACCCGAUUUCCCACUUCAGUCCCUAAAUUUCAAAAUAGGACACUUAAGUCCCUAAACUAUUGAAUCCAUUCCAAUUAAAUAAAAUCAUUAACAAAAUCCACAAAAUCGUCAGGAUUUUUCGAGCGUGCAAAACAAGCGCCUUUAGUGAGACUAAUUAAGCAAUGAAAACUGAAAUAGUUAGGACAUAAUUGUAAAUUCGUCUAUUAGGUAUAAGGGCCAAAGAAAUAAGUCAAAACUGCUUUGUUUCUUUCUUCUUCACUUUGAAUUAUUCGAUUUGAACACAGAGAGAGAGAGAGAGGUGCGAAUGAUACAUUACCCAGUUUCUACUAACAAAUACCUUGAAAUGAUCGUGAUUGUGAUUCAGAGGUGAAGUUUAUUGUAAACAUGGGAAGGAAGAGGAUUGAAGGAGAAAUGAGAUCGCCAUUGAAGAACAAGAAGAGAAAGACCAAUCUGGGUAAGAGAAAUGAUAUUAGGGUCAUUGUUUGCUUGUUGGUUAUUAUAGUAGUGUAUAUAGUAGUUGGGUUAUUUGAAUUGUUAUUGUUGUCGGCUAGGUUUUGUAGGGAUAUUGUGGAAUGUAAAAAGGGCCAGAUUGACCUUUAUAUGUUAGUGACAAAUUAUGGUAGACAAAAUUGUUUAAUGUCGAAUAUAUGGGUCUGAAAAUGAUUUGGAGUGUUUUUUAAGUCAAUGUUUAUGCUGUCCAAACCCUAAUGUUCCUUGUAUUGAAGACAUUGUGGUCCUCGAUCCACUGUAAAAGGUGUAAAAAAAUUAAUUAUUGAAUUACAAAUUUUUUUCUUUGAACCAGGAAAUGGUGAUAGUGGAAUUUGGCCUAAACCUUUCUCCUUGUAGAUAUACCAUCAAGGGACCUUCACAAACUUUCCUAACAAAUAGUAUAUAGAGGGAAGGGUUGAUUUUAUAGAUGGAUGCAACCCGAAAAUGUGGUCAUUAGUAGCUCUAGACAAAUGUGGAGAGAGGCUUGCGUAUGAUAUAAAAGAUGGUUUUGGGUGGUAUUAUCUGCUGCCAGGGAUGACAUUGGAUACAGGCUUGUUCGUUUGUUUGUGUGAUAGGGAUUGUGAGGUGAUGGUGAACACAUUACCACUACAUAGGGUGGCCGAAGUGUUUCUUAGAGUCGAAUCAGAAGGUUGUCCAUAGGCUGCUAUACCCUUAAGUCAAGCUAAGGGAGAUGAAGCCGAAAGGGAUAGAGACAGUGAUGUAAUGAUCAUAGAAGAGGGUGUCAACACUGAUGAAGUGGAACAAGAUGGAAGAGAAAAUGUUGACAGACAAGCAAGGAAUAGGUGCUGAAGUUGAACCAGAAUGUGAGGAUUUUCAUUGUGUUGUUGCUGAAGAUGAACCAGAAAAUAAAGACAUGAAUAGCAAAGCGACUAAAGCUGAAAUUGUGGUAGAAGAGAAAGCUGAUAGCAGGAGUGACACUGCAAAGGAACCAGAAGAUGUUGAAGGCUAUGAUGAAGCUUCAAAUGCACAAGUCAGAGAAGAGGAUGAAUGUAAAAAUUGUAAUGAAAAUGCAGAAAAGGCAACCGGCAAUGAAAGUGGUGUAGGGGAAACAUCAUGUGAUAAUGCCAGACUAUAAGAGGAUGAAAAUGGAGUCAAUAUUGAUGAGAAGUUGGUGGAUUCAAACUAUGAGGAUCAAGGGGGAGACAAUGACAUAUUAGAUAAAGCCAUAAGAAUUGGUCAAAGUAUUGGAAGGGACCUAGGUGCCCAUGAAGCUAGUCCUUCGCAUUGCAAUGAACAUGUUCCUUCUCAUUGCAGUGAGCAAAGAAAGAAGAAGUCAGGAAGCAAGAAAGACCCACCCAUUGAAAUUAACCGCUAUGAUGACCCUGAUAUGAUUAAUAUUGAUGACAAGGAAUCAGAAUAUGACUCAAAUGGUUCAUUUGAAUUGAAGAGUCAAAGUGAAUUCGAUGAAAAUGGGAACAGUAAGACAAGGAGGCCUAAAUUUCCAGAUUUUAAUGAGCAAACAGACAUGAAGAAACCAUAGUUUGAAGUUGGUCAGAAGUUCGCAUCAGUCAUUACAUUGAGGUUGGCUGUAAGAAUCCAGGCAAUUAUGGAUGGGGGAGAUGUGUAUUUCAAGAAAAAUUGAUACAUUGAGGGUAAGAGUGAAAUGAAGAAAUUGUGACUGGCAGCUAUUGGGGUCUAAAAUGCAAGGUGAAAAUACCUUUCAGAUAAAAACACUUAAGUGAUGAGCACACUUGUGGAAGAGUGUUCCACAAUAAAAACAUGACAUCUAGGUUGGCCAGCAAACUAUUUGUUGAUGAGGUCAGGAAAGCGCCAUCUAUGACAGUGCAUGAGUUGAUGACCAAAGUAACUGAGGAGUUAAAUGUUGAUUUCAGUAUUAAGCAAGGGUAUAUAACACUUAGAAAAGUGAGAGACACUAUUCAAGGGUCUCAAGACAAACAGUACACCAUGUUGGAAGCAUUUGGUGGUGAAUUGAGGAGUGCAAAUCCGGGAUCUAGUGUGCUUGUUGAGAAAGCUCUCUCUUUUGGUGUAAGAGAACCCAAAGAGAUUCUUCUAAACUCCUAAACAAAGAAGCAGUUCUUCAAUCCAAAGGAUAUCAAUAUUUUAUUCCAACCAGCAAUGGAAGACAAAGCAUUCCAGCCUAUCAAAUUUCCAAACAUGAUACAGUUUACAUACAGAGAAGCCCUUUGGCAACCCUUACACCAAAAGAGAGAGCUUUCCUUCUUCAAAGAGAGAUUCAAAGAAAUACUAUUAGAAUUCAAGUUCUACGAAGAGCAGGAAGGAAUGAAGAAUUUCUUCAACAUUACAAAGACCAAAAUAAACAAUUAUCUAACCAACUUAAAAAUGUUGUUUAUUGAUUUUGCAGGAAUAUGGAUUCAAAAGCAGGAAAUUCUAGACCAAAAACUCCUCAAGAUUAUGAGAUGAGUCUUACUCCUGUAACUCAAAAUAGAUUCCAAUUACUAUCAGACUUUCCAGCACUGACCUACAGUCAAGCUGCUUGUACUCCAAUUUCCUCUCAAAUUAGACCAAUCCAACAAAUACCAAAAUCCCCAGAAAAAUCCACAGAAAAUACCUAUUUUACAAACCAUUUACCCAACAUAUUACUUUAACAAGAUUCCAAGAAAUACCAAUAUAUUCUACACUCAAUCAGCUUACUCAAAGAAUCUUUCCUCAAAAAUGUUAUUGGCAAGCUGAUGAUCCUUCAAAAAAUUUGGAUUAUUACGAACUAAUUCUUACAGAUACUCAAUCUGUAGAAAUAUUCCCCAUUCCAGACAAAAAGAAUCCAAAUAUAAUUAGCCAUUCUAAGUAUAUAAUAAAGAAGGAAUAAUUUCUACUAAAUAUUGUGAAAGAACAAAUGAAACACUAAUGGCAGCAAAUGGAGAAAAUUUACACGUAAAAUAUAAAUUUACAAAAGGAUCAAUAUGUAAUAAUGAAUAUUGUAUCAGACAUAAUUUUAUAAUUGUAAAAAAUAUAAAUCAUGAUAUAAUAUUAGGAACACCUUUUUAAUUCAAAUUUACCCAUUUGCAGUAAACCAUGGAGGAAUUUCAAUAAAUAUAAUGGAAAAAACUAUUACUUUUAAAUUCUUAACUCCAAUAAGACAAAGAGAAUUACAGAUAUUACAAACAUCUUCUAUUUAUAAAAUAAUAAAUACUAUUACUAAAGUACAACAACAUAUAAACUAUAUCAAAGAAGAGAAAUCUUAUUUAAAAAUUGAAGAACAAUUAAAAGAAGCUAAAAUACAAAAAAGAAUUUCUGAGAUAGAAGAAUUAUUGAAAAAAGAAAGAAGAAACUGACAAAAUUGAGGAGUCAGCUGGAUCAUCCGAAUCCACUUUUGAUCCCUUUGGUGGACCAUGCGGACAAGACCCAAAUGACUUUUGAAAAAAUAUGUCGGCCACAAUUCAAGAAAAGAAAAUGAAAUUCAAAUGCAGAUGAAAUGCAAAGGCAGACGUCCCUAUAAAUAGAUUCAAAAUCAGAGGAAGAAGUAUUGGUGAAUAACCAAGCAAUCCUCUUUUGUUAAACCAUUAGCAAACAUCCCAAUCUCUCUUAUUCAAUCCCUUUGUAUUCAACCACUCUUGUAUCCUUUCAAUAUUUUAAUAAGAAGAACAAAGUUUGGAUUCCACAAUUGUUUGAUUCAAGCUUCCGUUAGCAACUCAAAAAUUUUGUAAGUUCCAUUAUUUAAGUUACAGUCUAUGCUCAUUUCAAGUACAUUUCAAGUAACCUAGGUAGAAGUGGUAUCAGAGCCACACGCGUAGCAUGCAUAUUUAAGACUUUGAAUUAUUAUUACCUUAUUUGAAUUACUCUCUAUUUUGAUUUGGCUAAUUCAUGCAUUUAUGUUUACAUAUUUUAUUAAACUUUUACUGAAAUCAUUGGUAAGACUUGAAGCCUUGUGAGACCGUUGGUAAGUCCAGGGUAGGAUGUUCCCGGCAUAGUGCUCAGUUGUUCCUGACUAGGUAAAACUUUAAAUAAAUAUUAAACAUGGCUGCAUUUCUUAGACAAUUAAAAAUAGGAUCUAAUUCAAAGCAAGAUAAUAUAGUACAAAGUCAUGAAUAUCAUAUGCCUAUAAAUAAUUCAGAUUGGACUAUUCCAGAAGAAAAAAUAGAACAUAUUUAUAGAAUAGACCCGUUAGAUUUCAAAACAGCUUUAUCAGUUAAAACACAUGAAGAAACAAUAUCUAUUCAAGAAGAAUAUCAAUCAAUUUCAUUACUAAAUCAUAGUACAAUUCAGAAAUAUUUAAGUAAAGGAUAUCGAUACAUUCAUAUAGGUUUAAUACAAAUUGCAGUAAACCCUUAUUCCAUUUAGGAGUAGACACUCCAAUAUAUUUAGCAUUAAGAGAUACUAGAUUCAAAAGAUAUAAAACUUCUUUACUUUCUAUGAUUCAAACAAAUGUAUGUAAUGGACCUAUAUAUUUUAACUGUGCUCCAAAUUUUUCAAUAGACUUAACAGACCCACAUAUUUUGAAUUCAGUCAUAUUAGAUAUUCAUCUACAAGGAAAUGAAUUUGAAAAACACACAAAGAAUUUUGCAAUAAUAUAUAGAAUAUAUUAUAGACCUUUAUCAAUAUUAUAGAAUUUAUUUUGUUAUAAUUUGAUCAUCUUUUAAUUUCCAUUUUUUAUAUAAAUUAGUUUGAACAUUAAUUUGUGGUAUAUUAUAGACAUCAUUUAUUCCUAUAUAGAAUGAUAGCCAAGUAAAGAAAGGAAAAUCAAAUUUUCUUUUUUCUAAUUCAUCUUUCCAUUCUAAUAUUAAUUUUUCUUUAUAUUCUGAUUUUAAUUGGAAAAACCAAAUUCUUUUUUCAGUAUUUUCUUCAUCAUCAAAAUCUUCUUGUAAAUAUUUAUGAUUUAUUUUAUAUGGUUUAUUUAUAACAUUUAUUUUGCAAAUAAUUCAAAUAUUCUUUGAGCAUCUCGGGAUUCUGCAUCAUUUGCAUUAUCAUAAAGUUGCUUGCAAUUUCUUCGGAUGCCAUAUCUGUCAUCUUUUCUUUAUCUUUCUUUUGAGUGGUUGGAGUAGGUGUAGUGGUUGGAAUAUUAGUUGGCUGUCUUGUCCUCUUUGGAGUAGUUGUUGAAGUAGUUGUUGGCUGAUUUGUCCACUUUAGUUUGUCUCCAGUAGUCAAGAAUCUUAUCACAUUGGUUUGAUCUCCGAAUUCUUGACUGAAUCCAGUCCACCAUUUGAUUUUGAAUUCUCUGACUAGUGACAUUGGAAGAGGUUUUUCUAAUUCUUGAUGAAUUUUGAAACUCCAGCAAAAUAUCCAUGGUAAUUUGAAUUCCAUAUAUAAAGGUCUAUAAUAUAUUGUCUAUAUAUUAUUGCAAAAUUCUUUGUGUGUUUUUCAAAUUCAUUUCCUUGUAGAUGAAUAUCUAAUAUGACUGAAUUUUUAAUGUAUCAAUUUUUGUAUUUAAUACUUCCAUAUGUUGAGAUAUUGUAUGAAGAAUUUGAUUUGUAUAAUUAUUUUGUUGAUAAAUCUUUUUGAUAUCUUCUAAAUUUAUAGUGUUAUUUGUACUGGAUUCAACUUCUCUACCCUUUUUAAAAGGUGGGGCUAUUAUAUCUCCUUGACCGAUGUUUAAUUUCUAUUUUUUAUAUAAAUUAGUUUGAACAUUAAUUUGUGGUGUAUUAUAGAUAUCAUUUAUUCCUAUAUAGAAUGAUAGCCAAGUAAAGAAAGGAAAAUCAAAUUUUCUUUUUUCUAAUUCAUCUUUCCAUUCUAAUAUUAAUUUUUCUUUAUAUUCUGAUUUUAAUUGGAAAAAUCAAAUUCUUUUUUCAGUAUUUUCUUCAUCAUCAAAAUCUUCUUGUAAAUAUUUAUGAUUUAUUUUAUAUGGUUUAUUUAUAACAUUUAUUUCUCCUUUCAUUUGUGAAUGAGUUGGGGAAUAUUCUGAUUGAUUUUGAUUUAUGACUUCUGGAACAGGAGUUUUAUAUUUAAAAGUUGAAGUACUUUCUAAAGGAAAAUUUAUUUCAGUUGCUUCAUAAUUAGAAUGUCUUGCUGGUAACCAAGAAUAAGUUGAAUCAGGUCUUUCUCUUAAUGAAGAGAUUCUUGAAAAUCUUAUUAAAGUAUUUCCAUCAGGUUUUUCUAUAAUAUCUUCUGCAGUUGUCUAUUCUAUAUUUCUUGCUAUUUGUGGAUUUUUAAUUUCAAAUUCACUAGGUAUGGUUAUUUCAUUCCAUUUUAGACAAAGCAUUCCAGGCUAUCAAAUUUCCAAACAUGAUACAGUUUACAUACAGAGAAGCCCUUUGGCAACCCUUACACCAAAAGAGAGAGCUUUCCUUCUUCAAAGAGAGAUUCAGAGAAAUACUAUUAGAAUUCAAAUUCUACGAAGAGCAGGAAGGAAUGAAGAAUUUCUUCAACAUUACAAAGACCAAAAUAAACAAUUAUCCGGCCAACUUAAAGAUGUUGUUUAUUGAUUUUGCAGGAAUAUGGAUUCAAAAGCAGGAAAUUCUAGACCAAAGACUCCUCAAGAUUAUGAGAUGAGUCUUACUCCUGUAACUCAAAAUAGAUUCCAAUUACUAUCAGACUUUCCAGCACUGACCUACAGUCAAGCUGCUUGUACUCCAAUUUCCUCUCAAAUUAGACCAAUCCAACAAAUACCAAAAUCCCCAGAAAAAUCCACAGAAAAUACCUAUUUUACAAACCAUUUACCCAACAUAUUACUUUAACAAGAUUCCAAGAAAUACCAAUAUAUUCUAUACUCAAUCAGCUUACUCAAAGAAUCUUUCCUCAAAAAUGUUAUUGGCAAGCUGAUGAUCCUUCAAAAAAUUUGGAUUAUUACGAACUAAUUCUUACAGAUACUCAAUCUGUAGAAAUAUUCCCCAUUCCAGACAAAAAGAAUCCAAAUAUAAUUAGCCAUUCUAAGUGUAUAAUAAAGAAAGUUUGUUCACCAAAUGAAUGGACUUCUCUUUAUUCCAAAAAAUCAUUCUCAGUCAGAUUCAUUCCAGAUGGAUUCACAUAUCAAGAUUAUAAAAUGGCAUGGUAUCGUGCUUUUUUAUACAGACCAUGCAAUCAUUCAUGGUUCUUCACAUUCAAAGAAAGUUGUGCCAGAGAAUUUCCAAUUUGAUUCAAUCAUUGGUGGCAAUGGUUCAGCCCUCAAAAGGAAAUAUUACCUCCAAAUGUGUUAAUGGGAUUUCAGACUUAUCUCAAAAGAGCAAAGGGGAAGAGUAUAUAAGACCUAUAUUAUUCCAUAUAGAAUUCAAAGUACCAUGGAUAUUUUGCUGGAGUUUCAAAAUUCAUCAAGAAUUAGAAAAACCUCUUCCAAUGUCACUAGUCAGAGAAUUCAAUUACAUAAAAUGCAGCACAACUCCAAGGUGAUUUUGAAGGUGUUAUUAAUCCUUUGUCUAUUAAUGUUUUUAUUUCUUUUUUACAAAAUUCAUUACAGAAUUUAUCUAAGCCUCAAACUCCUACAAUAAAUACAUUAGAUCAAAUAAUAGAAGACAAUUCAUCUGAAGAUAUAAAUAAUUCAUCUGAAGAAUCAAUAAAUUCAGAAAUCGAAGAAAAUAUAAUUUUUCCAAUAGAAAAACAAUUUGAAGAAAAAGAAGAUAAUCGAAUAAAUAAAAUUAAAAGAAGAAGAACUUAUAAUAGAAAUGAUAAUAAAAAUUGAAAAAUGGUAAGUACAAAGAAUUAUUAUUCAAGACCUAGUCCUCUAGAUAUUCAAUAUGAAGAAAGAUCAAAAUUUCGUACCACUAAAUAUGAUGGAGACUCAAUUUAUGAAUGGAAUAUAGAUUGAUUUAUGACUUCUGGAACAGGAGUUUUAUAUUUAAAAGUUGAAGUACUUUCUAAAGGAAAAUUUAUUUCAAGUACAUCUGAUUGAAUAUUUCCAAUUAAAAUCAGAAUAUAAAGAAAAAUUAAUAUUAGAAUGGAAAGAUGAAUUAGAAAAAAGAAAAUUUGAUUUUCCUUUCUUUACUUGGCUAUCAUUCUAUAUAGGAAUAAAUGAUGUCUAUAAUACACCACAAAUUAAUGUUCAAACUAAUUUAUAUAAAAAAUGGAAAUUAAAAGAUGAUCAAAUUAUAACAUCUAUACAUCCUCCAUUACAAGAAGUAAAAAUAAACAUCGGUCAAGGAGAUAUAAUAGCCUCACCUUUUAAAAAGGGUAGAGAAGUUGAAUCCAGUACAAAUAACACUAUAAAUUUAGAAGAUAUCAAAAAGAUUUAUCAACAAAAUAAUUAUACAAAUCAAAUUCUUCAUACAAUAUCUCAACAUAUGGAAGUAUUAAAUACAAAAAUUGAUACAUUAAAGAAACCAGAAUCUAAAUUCCCUAAUGACAUUUCAGCACCACAUUUCCAGCCUAGAAGUUUGACAAGAGAAAAAGAACAAGAAUUAAUCCAAAAUAUUAAUAAUCAAAAAAUAAAUACUACAGACAAUAUAUUAAAUAGAAUAUCACAAUCAUUACAGAAUUUAUCUAAGCCUCAAACUCCUAAAAUAAAUACAUUAGAUCAAAUAAUAGAAGACAAUUCAUCUGAAGAUAUAAAUAAUUCAUCUGAAGAAUCAAUAAAUUCAGAUUUCGAAGAAAAUAUAAUUUUUCCAAUAGAAAAACAAUUUGAAGAAAAAGAAGAUAAUCGAAUAAAUAAAAUUAAAAGAAGAAGAACUUAUAAUAGAAAUGAUAAUAAAAAUUGGAAAAUGGUAAGUACAAAGAAUUAUUAUUCAAGACCUAGUCCCCCAGAUAUCCAAUAUGAAGAAAGAUCAAAAUUUCGUACCACUAAAUAUGAUGGAGACUCAAUUUAUGAAUGGAAUAUAGAUGGCAAAGCAGAAUAUGAAGUAUUAAAUAAUUUACAAGAAAUGGGAAUGGCUAGAUUAGCUUAUAAAAUAAAAAAUAUUCAAGAAAGAAAUAUUGCAACAUUAUUAGUUUCAAGAUUUACUGGACAAUUAAAGAAUUGGUGGGAUAAUGCUUUAACACUUCAAGAUAAAUUAUCAAUAUUAGAUCAUACACAAGAAAUUGAAGAUGAUCAAGGAAAUAUUCAAAUUCAAUCAGAUGCUGCAGAAUUCUUGAUAGUAACAAUAGUAAUGUAUUUCAUAGGAAAUCCAAAAGAAGAAUUAAAUUCUAAUAAAACAUUUUUAACAAACUUAAGAUGUCCAACAUUAUCAGACUUUAGAUGGUAUAAAGAUAUGUUUUUAACAAAUGUAUUAAGAAGACCAGAUUGCAAUGCUUCAUUCUGGAAAGAAAGAUUCAUAACAGGAUUACCAAGCUUAUUUUCACAAAGAAUAAUGGAUAGUUUGCAAAAGGAAAUGGGAACAGAUGUAAUUUCAUUUGAAAAUAUUACUUUUGGACAAUUAUUUGCUUUUGUGAAAAAAGAAGGAUUAAUGUUAUGCUCAGAAUUAAAAUUACAAAUAAAAUAUGGUUCAAAAACAAAAGAAGUAGGAUCAUUUUGUGAUGCAUUUGGAAUUAAAAGAAUUAAAUCACCCUCUGCAUACAAAAAGAAAAUUAAAAAAUAUAACAAUAAGAAAAUAAGAUACAAAAGAACUGAAGGAAAUAAACCAGAAAAGAAAAGAAGAUUUAUUAAAAAGAAAAUUAUUUGCUACAAAUGUGGGAAAGUAGGACAUAAAGCAAAUAAAUGUAAUUUAAAAGAAAAAAUUACUGAAAUUUGUGCAGAAGAAGAAGAGAUUAAAAAUAAAUUAAUAAACUUAUUAAUAAAUGAAAAAAAUCAAAGUUCAGAAGAUGAUUAUUAUAAUGACAUAAGUACUUCAGAAAGUGAAGAAGAUUGUAAUUGUUCAAAUACUCCAAAAUAUAUAAAUGUUAUAACUAAAAAAGAAGAUAAAGAAUUCUUAUUAGAUAUAAUAGAAAAGAUUAAUGAUCCAAUAGCUAAAAAGGAAUAUUUGGAAAGAUUAAAAAGUCUAAUUAUUCAAGAAGAUAAAAUGCCAAAGAUAAUAGAACCUUUUAGCAUUUCGAAAUUAAUAGAUAAAUAUCCAAAUAUAAAUAUAAUGAAAAAAGAAACGACUAAAGAUCUUCAAACAGAAAUCAAUAAUCUUAAAAUACAGAUAAAACAAUUACAACAAGAGAUUAUAGAAUUAAAAACAAAAGAUUUAGAAAUAGAAGCAAAAAUAUCCUUAAUAUAUAAUCAACCAUCAACUUCUAAUUCCAAAACAGAAGAAAUAUGUUUAUCUGAAAAACCAGUAGAUGAAAUUCAAUAUUUAAAUACAAUAAAAAAAAUGACAUUUCAAAAAUGGUAUGCUUUAGUAACCAUUACUGUAGAAGAUUUCAAAGAAACACAUGUAACUCUAAUAGAUAGUAGAGCUGAUUCAAGUUGUAUUAAAGAAGGAAUAAUUCCUACUAAAUAUUGUGAAAGAACAAAUGAAACAUUAAUGGCAGCAAAUGGAGAAAAUUUACAAGUAAAAUAUAAAUUUACAAAAGGAUCAAUAUGUAAUAAUGAAUAUUGUAUCAGACAUAAUUUUAUAAUUGUAAAAAAUAUAAAUCAUGAUAUAAUAUUAGGAACACCUUUUUUAAUUCAAAUUUACCCAUUUGCAGUAAACCAUGAAGGAAUUUCAAUAAAUAUAAUGGGAAAAACUAUUACUUUUAAAUUCUUAACUCCAAUAAGACAAAGAGAAUUACAGAUAUUACAAACAUCUUCUAUUUAUAAAACAAUAAAUACUAUUACUAAAGUACAACAACAUAUAAACUAUAUCAAAGAAGAGAAAUCUUAUUUAAAAAUUGAAGAACAAUUAAAAGAAGCUAAAAUACAAAAAGAAUUUCUGAAAUAGAAGAAUUAUUGAAAAAAGAAAUUUGUGCAAAUAUUCCUAAUGCUUUUUGGGAUAGAAAACAACAUAUGAUAGAAUUACCUUAUGAAAAAGAAUUCAAUGAAAAGAAUAUUCCAACAAAAGCUAGACCAAUACAAAUGAAUUCUGAUUUAUUAGAAUUUUGUAAAAAAGAAAUAAAAACAUUAAUAGACAAAGGAUUAAUAACACCUUCAAAAUCACCUUGGAGUUGUGCUGCAUUUUAUGUAAUGAAUCAAGCUGAAAAAGAAAGAGGAGUUCCAAGAUUAGUCAUAAAUUAUAAACCAUUAAAUAAAGUUUUACAAUGGAUUAGAUAUCCUAUUCCUAAUAAAAAGGAUUUGCUUAAUAGAUUAUUUAAUGCAAAAAUAUUUUCUAAAUUUGAUUUAAAAUCAGGAUAUUGGCAAAUAUUAAUAACUCCAGAAGAUAGAUACAAAACAGCAUUUACAACACCUUUUGGCCAUUAUGAAUGGAAGGUUAUGCCAUUUGGAUUAAAAAAUGCACCAUCAGAAUUUCAAAAUAUAAUGAAUGAUAUUUUUAAUCCUUAUAGUUCAUUCAGCAUUGUAUAUAUAGAUGAUGUAUUAAUAUUUUCAGAAUCAAUAGAACAACAUUUUAAACAUUUAAAUAUAUUUCUAAAAAUAGUUAAGAAAAAUGGAUUAGUAGUAUCGGCCCCAAAAAUGAAAUUAUUUCAAACAAAAAUAAGAUUUCUAGGACACAAUAUAUAUCAAGGAACAAUAAAAUCAAUUGAUAGAGCUUUAGAAUUUGCUACUAAAUUUUCAGAUGAAAUAAAAGAUAAAAAUCAAUUACAAAGGUUUUUAGGAUGUUUAAAUUAUAUAGCAGAUUUCUUUCCCAAAUUAAGGCAAGAAUGUUCUAUAUUAUUUAAUAGACUAAAGAAAAAUCCAAAACCUUGGACAGAAGAACACACUCAAAAAAUAAAAUAUUUAAAAGGAAAAAUUGAAUCAUUACCAUGUUUAUGUUUACCACAUCCUAAAGCAUUCAUGAUAGUUGAAACAGAUGCAUCAGAAUUAGGAUAUGGGGGUAUAUUAAAACAAAGAAUAGAAGAAUCAAAAGAAAAAUUAGUUAGAUUUCAUUCAGGAACAUGGUCUGACCCUCAAAAGAAUUAUUCAACUAUUAAAAAAGAAAUUUUAUCAAUAGUUUUAUGUAUAUCUAAAUUUCAAGAUGAUUUAUAUAAUAAAAAUUCUUGAUUAGAAUAGAUUGUAAAUCUGCAAAAGAGAUUUUACAAAAAGAUGUUCAAAACAUAGUUUCAAAACAAAUAUUUGCUAGAUGGCAAGCUAUUUUAUCCGUUUUCGAUUUUGAAAUUGAAUUUAUAAAAGGAGAAAAUAAUUCAUUACCAGAUUUUCUUACUAGAGAAUUUUUACAAGGACAUGGAUCGUGAAAUGAUGGCCCAAAGAACUGAUCGGGAAUAUACAAAUUAUUUAAGAACCCAAAGAGAUUCUCCUCAACUCCUAAACAAAGAAGCAGUUCUUCAAUCCAGAUGAUAUCAAUAUUUUAUUCCAACCAGCAAUGGAAGACAAAGCAUUCCAGCCUAUCAAAUUUCCAAACAUGAUACAGUUUACAUACAGAGAAGCCCUUUGGCAACCCUUACAGCAAAAGAGAGAGCUUUCCUUCUUCAAAGAGUGAUUCAGAAAAAUACUAUUAGAAUUCAAGUUCUACGAAGAGCAGGAAGGAAUGAAGAAUUUCUUCAACAUUACAAAGACCAAAAUAAACAAUUAUCUAACCAACUUAAAGAUGUUGUUUAUUGAUUUUGCAGGAAUAUGGAUUCAAAAGCAGGAAAUUCUAGACCAAAGACUCCUCAAGAUUAUGAGAUGAGUCUUACUCCUGUAACUCAAAAUAGAUUCCAAUUACUAUCAGACUUUCCAGCACUGACCUACAGUCAAGCUGCUUGUACUCCAAUUUCCUCUCAAAUUAGACCAAUCCAACAAAUACCAAAAUCCCCAGAAAAAUUCACAGAAAAUACCUAUUUUACAAAACCAUUUACCCAACAUAUUACUUUAACAAGAUUCCAAGAAAUACCAAUAUAUUCUACACUCAAUCAGCUUACUCAAAAAAUCUUUCCUCAAAAAUGUUAUUGGCAAGCUGAUGAUCCUUCAAAAAAUUUGGAUUAUUACGAACUAAUUCUUACAGAUACUCAAUCUGUAGAAAUAUUCCCCAUUCCAGACAAAAAGAAUCCAAAUAUAAUUAGCCAUUCUAAGUGUAUAAUAAAGAAAGUUUGUUCAUCAAAUGAAUGGACUUCUCUUUAUUCCAAAAAAUCAUUCUCAGUCAGAUUCAUUCCAGAUGGAUUCACAUAUCAAGAUUAUAAAAUGGCAUGGUAUCGUGUUUUUUUAUACAGACCAUUCAAUCAUUCAUGGUUCUUCACAUUCAAAGAAAGUUGUGCCAGAGAAUUUCCAAUUUGGUUCAAUCAUUGGUGGCAAUGGUUCGGCCCUCAAAAGGAAAUAUUACCUCCAAAUGUGUUAAUGGGAUUUCAGACUUAUCUCAAAAGAGCAAAGGGGGAAGAGUAUAUAAGACCUAUAUUAUUCCAUAUGGAAUUCAAAGUACCAUGGAUAUUUUGCUGGAGUUUCAAAAUUCAUCAAGAAUUAGAAAAACCUCUUCCAAUGUCACUAGUCAGAGAAUUCAAAAUCAAAUGGUGGACUGGAUUCAAUCAAGAAUUCGGAGAUCAAACCAAUGUGAUAAGAUUCUUGACUACUGGAGACAAACUAAAGUGGACAAGACAGCCAACUAAUAUUCCAACCACUACACCUACUCCAACCACUCCAAAGAAAGAUAAAGAAAAGAUGACAGAUAUGGCAUCCGAAGAAAUUGCAAGCAACUUUCUGAUAAAGCAAAUGAUGCAGAAUCCCGAGAUACUCAAAGAAUAUUUGAAUUAUUUGCAAAAGCCAGAUAAGAAAGAAGAAACUGACAAAAUUGAGAAGUCAGCUGGAUCAUCCGAAUCCACUUUUGAUCCCUUUGGUGGACCAUGCGGACAAGACCCAAAUGACUUUUGAAAAAAGAUGUCGGCCACAAUUCAAGAAAAGAAAAUGAAAUUCAAAUGCAGAUGAAAUGCAAAGGCAGACAUCCCUAUAAAUAGAUUCAAAAUCAGAGGAAGAAGAAUCGGUGAAUAACCAAGCAAUCCUCUUUUGUUAAACCAUUAGCAAACAUCCCAAUCUCUCUUAUUCAAUCCCUUUGUAUUCAACCACUCUUGUAUCCUUUCAAUAUUUUAAUAAGAAGAACAAAGUUUGGAUUCCACAAUUGUUUGAUUCAAGCUUCCGUUAGCAACUCAAAAAUUUUGUAAGUUCCAUUAUUUAAGUUACAGUCUAUGCUCAUUUCAAGUACAUUUCAAGUAACCUAGGUAGAAGUGGUAUCAGAGCCACACGCGUAGCAUGCAUAUUUAAGACUUUGAAUUAUUAUUACCUUAUUUGAAUUACUCUCUAUUUUGAUUUGGCUAAUUCAUGCAUUUAUGUUUACAUAUUUUAUUAAACUUUUACUGAAAUCAUUGGUAAGACUUGAAGCCUUGUGAGACCGUUGGUAAGUCCAGGGUAGGAUGUUCCCGGCAUAGUGCUCAGUUGUUCCUGACUAGGUAAAACUUUAAAUAAAUAUUAAACAUGGCUGCAUUUCUUAGACAAUUAAAAAUAGGAUCUAAUUCAAAGCAAGAUAAUAUAGUACAAAGUCAUGAAUAUCAUAUGCCUAUAAAUAAUUCAGAUUGGACUAUUCCAGAAGAAAAAAUAGAACAUAUUUAUAGAAUAGACCCGUUAGAUUUCAAAACAGCUUUAUCAGUUAAAACACAUGAAGAAAUAAUAUCAAUUCAAGAAGAAUAUCAAUCAAUUCCAUUACUAAAUCAUAGUACAAUUCAGAAAUAUUUAAGUAAAGGAUAUCGAUACAUUCAUAUAGGUUUACUACAAAUUGCAGUAAAACCCUUAUUCCAUUUAGGAGUAGACACUCCAAUAUAUUUAGCAUUAAGAGAUACUAGACUCAAAAGAUAUAAAAUUUCUUUACUUUCUAUGAUUCAAACAAAUGUAUGUAAUGGACCUAUAUAUUUUAACUGUGCUCCAAAUUUUUCAAUAGACUUAACAGACCCACAUAUUUUGAAUUCAGUCAUAUUAGAUAUUCAUCUACAAGGAAAUGAAUUUGAAAAACCCACAAAGAAUUUUGCAAUAAUAUAUAGAAUAUAUUAUAGACCUUUAUCUUCACACUUAAAUCCCAAAUUUAUAAUGACUCCAACUCUUAAAGAAGGAACAACUUUAUUACAAGUAGAUGCAGAUAGACCUACAACUUAUACUCCAAAAAGAUUAAAAUGGAAUGAAAUAACCAUACCUAGUGAAUUUGAAAUUAAAAAUCCACAAAUAGCAAGAAAUAUAGAACAGACAACUGCAGAAGAUAUUAUAGAAAAACCUGAUGGAAAUACUUUAAUAAGAUUUUCAAGAAUCUCUUCAUUAAGAGAAAGACCUGAUUCAACUUAUUCUUGGUUACCAGCAAGACAUUCUAAUUAUGAAGCAACUGAAAUAAAUUUUCCUUUAGAAAGUACUUCAACUUUUAAAUAUAAAACUCCUGUUCCAGAAGUCAUAAAUCAAAAUCAAUCAGAAUAUUCCCCAACUCAUUCACAAAUGAAAGGAGAAAUAAAUGUUAUAAAUAAACCAUAUAAAAUAAAUCAUAAAUAUUUACAAGAAGAUUUUGAUGAUGAAGAAAAUACUGAAAAAAGAAUUUGAUUUUUCCAAUUAAAAUCAGAAUAUAAAGAAAAAUUAAUAUUAGAAUGGAAAGAUGAAUUAGAAAAAAGAAAUUUUGAUUUUUCUUUCUUUACUUGGCUAUCAUUCUAUAUAGGAAUAAAUGAUGUCUAUAAUACACCACAAAUUAAUGUUCAAACUAAUUUAUAUAAAAAAUGAAAAUUAAAAGAUGAUCAAAUUAUAACAUCUAUACAUCCUCCAUUACAAGAAGUAAAAAUAAACAUCGGUCAAGGAGAUAUAAUAGCCUCACCUUUUAAAAAGGGUAGAGAAGUUGAAUCCAGUACAAAUAACACUAUAAAUUUAGAAGAUAUCAAAAAGAUUUAUCAACAAAAUAAUUAUACAAAUCAAAUUCUUCAUACAAUAUCUCAACAUAUGGAAGUAUUAAAUACAAAAAUUGAUACAUUAAAGAAACCAGAAUCUAAAUUCCCUAAUGACAUUUCAGCACCACAUUUCCAGCCUAGAAGUUUGACAAGAGAAAAAGAACAAGAAUUAAUCCAAAAUAUUAAUAAUCAAAAAAUAAAUACUACAGACAAUAUAUUAAAUAGAAUAUCACAAUCAUUACAGAAUUUAUCUAAGCCUCAAACUCCUAAAAUAAAUACAUUAGAUCAAAUAAUAGAAGACAAUUCAUCUGAAGAUAUAAAUAAUUCAUCUGAAGAAUCAAUAAAUUCAGAAAUCGAAGAAAAUAUAAUUUUUCCAAUAGAAAAACAAUUUGAAGAAAAAGAAGAUAAUCGAAUAAAUAAAAUUAAAAGAAGAAGAACUUAUAAUAGAAAUGAUAAUAAAAAUUGGAAAAUGGUAAGUACAAAGAAUUAUUAUUCAAGACCUAGUCCUCCAGCUAUCCAAUAUGAAGAAAGAUCAAAAUUUCGUACCACUAAAUAUGAGGGAGACUCAAUUUAUGAAUGGAAUAUAGAUGGCAAAGUAGAAUAUGAAGUAUUAAAUAAUUUACAAGAAAUGGGAAUGGCUAGAUUAGCUUAUAAAAUAAAAAAUAUUCAAGAAAAGAAAAUGAAAUUCAAAUGCAGAUGAAAUGCAAAGGCAGACGUCCCUAUAAAUAGAUUCAAAAUCAGAGGAAGAAGCAUCGGUGAAUAACCAAGCAAUCCUCUUUUGUUAAACCAUUAGCAAACAUCCCAAUCUCUCUUAUUCAAUCCCUUUGUAUUCAACCACUCUUGUAUCCUUUCAAUAUUUUAAUAAGAAGAACAAAGUUUGGAUUCCACAAUUGUCUGAUUCAAGCUUCCGUUAGCAACUCAAAAAUUUUGUAAGUUCCAUUAUUUAAGUUACAGUCUAUGCUCAUUUCAAGUACAUUUCAAGUAACCUGGGUAGAAGUGGUAGAAGAAUAUCAAUCAAUUCCAUUACUAAAUCAUAGUACAAUUCAGAAAUAUUUAAGGUUCUUUUUCUCUUGUCAAACUUCUAGGCUGGAAAUGUGGUGCUGAAAUGUCAUUAGGGAAUUUAGAUUCUGGUUUCUUUAAUGUAUCAAUUUUUGUAUUUAAUACUUCCAUAUGUUGAGAUAUUGUAUGAAGAAUUUGAUUUGUAUAAUUAUUUUGUUGAUAAAUCUUUUUGAUAUCUUCGAAUCAGGUUACUGAAAUCAUUUGGUGGUGAAUUGAGGAGUGCAAAUCCGGGAUCUAGUGUGCUUGUUGAGACUGAUGUAGAUGAAGAUCAUGUUUCCAGAUUUAGAAGGCUGUAUAUGUGCUUAGAACUAAUAAAUAGAGGUUUUUUAGCUGGCUGUAGAAAGUGGAUUGGGUUAGAUGGUUGCUUCCUAAAAGGUCCACAUGAUGGGCAACUUUCAUUAGGAGUUGGAAUGGAUGGUGAUAACAAAAUGUUUCCAUUGGCUUUGUCAGUUGUUAGGGCAGAAAAUUAUGAUAACUUGAGUUGGUCUUUAGGAUUGCUUGUACAAGAUUUGAAAAUUUCGGACUCUAGUACUUGGUGCAUUAUGACUGACAAACAAAAGGUAGUAUUUAUUAGCUAUAUUACCAUAUCAAAUUUUGUUGUUAUGUUAAACUAUUGAUAUUAGUGUUGCAUAUGUGAUUGUUGUGCUGUGUUGCACAGGGUCUAAUUCAAGCAGUUACGGACAAACUUCCACAAGCUGAGCAUAGCUGUUGUGUCCAACACCUUUACACCAACUUCAAGCAAAUGCAAAGAGGCCUUCCUCUUAAAGAAAGGCUUUGGAGAUGUGCAAGGGCUUCAUAUAUAACUCAGCUCAAAAUAGAAAUGGAGAUGAUGAAGCAAGAGUCAAAGGAUGCAUAUGCAUGGUUGGAUGAAAAGGACCCCAAUACUUGGUCUAGGGCUCAUUUCAAGACUAGAUUGGAUUGCAAUAUAUUGGUUAAUAAUAUGUGUGAAUCUUUUAAUUUAAUUAUUUUAAAGACACGAUCAUUGCCUAUCGUAGGCAUGUUGCAGACUAUUUACUUAUAUGUGUUGAAGAGAAUGGAGAAGAAUAGAGAGACAAUGUCCAAGCAUGAAGGUUAAGCUACUUGCUUACUGUUUUUUAUCACAAUUUUUAAAGUUACACUAUGUUCAAUAUCUAAUUUGCUCUUUUAUUUUUCAUGUCUCUUAUGUCCAACAAUUUUUGACAUUCUUGAGAAGGCCAAGAAAGAGCAAUGCAUGUGCAUUUGCUACUAUGCUAGCAUGAUGAAGUAUCAAAUAUGUUGUCCUUUCAGUGACCAGUUUGCCGUUGAUUUGAGGAGCAUGACCUACACUUGUAGAAAAUGGCAACUGAGGGGAAUCCUAUGUGGCCAUGCAGUUGCUGCUAUUAAUAGGAGACAUGCCAAAUCAGAAAAAAAAAAUAUAGCACCCAUCUACUGGAAGAGUACAUACAUGAAGAGUUAUGAACCUAUGUUGAAUCCAAUCGAUGGUCCUAAUCUGUGGGCCCAAGUAGAUUUACCAUCAAUGAGGCCUCCAAAAUAUGGGAAAUCACCUGGAAGACCGAAAAAGGUGAGGAACAAGGGACCAGAUGAAGAUAGGAACAAGCAGUUAUAUGUGAAUCCAUCUAAACCUCACAAAGUCAGCAAGAUUGGCACUAAGAUGAGCUGUAGUCUAUGCAAGAAAUACGAACAUAAUAGGAGGAGUUGCCCUAAAAAAACCAACAAACUGCUGCAGUAGAAAAGAGACCAGAUGGGCAUAUGGAUAAGGAAUCUAGUGGGAACAGCACACAACAAACAGAUGCCAUCAGAAAUGAAACAAGGCAUACUAGUACUAGUCCAAGUACUGCUAGAGCUGCAUAGCUGCUCCUCAAAAUCAGACUGAACAGAAAAUUAAUGGAGAAUAACCAAUCAAGGGCACAAGAAAAUGCUCAUUUUGCAGGAAACCUGGUCAUUCAAAGAAAGGUUGCAAGCUGAGGAAAUGGAUCUUUAGAAACUCACUGGACAUGACCGGAGAACUUGGACUCAACAGUGUUGCAACUGAUUCUCUGAUUAAGCCAUAUGAGACAGCUUCAAAGGAAAUUGAAUCUGGACAUGUCAGUGCUUUGAAAUUUGCAUUUGUUGUUGUGUGAGAUACAAAUAUGUUCACUCUCGUAUUAACUACUUGUUAUCUCCUGACAUGUAGUUGAACUCCAAUACUGGUGACAAACUUUAUUCACACAAUCCAGGGAUAACAAUGAAACCACCAGACUCUUACAUUGAUGAUAGGCAGACAGAAGAGCUGUCAACUAGUCGUGUCACCAGACGAUUUCAACCAACCCCCUUCACUUGGAGGGGGAACAUGUGUGUAAAUCUAUCUACAUUGCAGGCAACAGCAGGUCAUAUGAAUAAUUCAACCAGCAUUGGCCAAUGUUCAGCUCUACAGGAAUGCAAAUGAAGCUGCAAACUUAGAAAAUUUAAAUCACACAAGAAAAUAGUUGUGUUUUGUAAAUGGCAAUGUGCUGCAGCUCUAUGUUUAGCUGGGUUUUGUGAAUUUCUAUUGCUAUAAAUUGUUCACAUUAUAUUUUGGGGAGCUGAUGUUUUGUAAAUGGCAACUGAUGUUGUAAAUGCCAAGAAAUUUUUGCUAUUGUUUUGUAAAUUUGUGAAACGUCUGGUCUUUUGGUGUAAGGCUAAACAUGCCUUCUUCUUAAAUGAUCAAAUUCAGUCCAUUUUCAAUUGCAUCUAUUGUCUCAAUAGUUGGUGGUGUUACAAAUGUUUACAGGUUUAUCAUUUACUCUCAAAAGUAGUUCAAUAAGUUGGGACACUUCAGUCCCUCAACUAUACAAAAGGGAUAGUUCAAUCCCAAUGCUUCAUUAGCUAGGGACACUUAGGUCCCUAAAGUUCAAACAAAAGAGCACAUAAUCCCCUAAACUAAAAAUUGUAUCCAAAAUUAGUGAACCUAGUGCUCCUUCAAGCAUAUGCUACAUUACACCAGAACCGCAGCUUAUACAUAGAGAGAAAAAUUACAUCUUUUCCAUCCCAAUUACAUAGCACCAUUAUGCAUUGCAUUGCAUGUUGCUCUAUGUUAUUCUACUACACCAUUGCUUCUUUUCCCACAUAAAUGGACAUGUUUCUUGUCAAACUCCAAUGAUGACCUUCAUGGCCCAAAUUUGAACAAAAGCAUCCAUAUAACAACAACAACCCAGUGAAGAAACAAGUACAUCUUUAGCCUUCUUAGUUUUGCUUCCUGCAGCUUUGAGUUCUCUUGCAACCUCUCAAUCUUAGAUUUCAAUUUGUUUUUUGUUCUUAUUAGUCCAGAGAUUAUAUCCUUGGACCUUUGACACAUCUCAAGAUCCACCCAAUCCCAAUAAUUGCAUUCCCCCGUUUCCUACAUUAAUAACACCAUUGAGAGAGUAAAUACAAGUUUACUUAGGUGCAUUGCAUACAAAUCGGAACCAUAGGGGAAGAAGUAUAAACAGAUAUAAUGGAAAUGGAAUUAUCCUGUAAUUUGGACAUUGACAAAACCUUCUUCUUGGGUUUAAAUCUGUCCAUGAUGUCAUCAUCAAUGCUUGUUUUCCACUGUUGCAUGUGUCCCUAACUAUCUCUCCUUUGUCUUCUUUCUUAUCUUCAGAUUUUCUAAAGCUCUCAACCUCUUAGUUCUUACCCCUCAUUUGGAUAUUCAACCAAUUGCUCUCUUUUUUAUUAGGACACAUCUCUUCCCUUUUAUGAAUUGGAUCGAGUCAAUUAUAUCACCUAAAUGUGCCUGAUAAAAUGAGGGAAAGUUUCCCUCCUUUUCCCUCCUUUGUGCUAAAUAAAUUUCUUUCUUUUUAUAUCUUUUCUCUGAAUUUGCAUCCCUGCCCUUGGUCAAUGGCGCUUGUUUUGCACGCUCAGAAAACCCUGACGAUUUUGUGGAUUUUGUCAACAAUUUUACUUAAUUGGGACGGAUUCAAUAGUUUGAGGACCUAAGUGUCCCAUUUUAAAGUUUAGGGACUGAAGUGAAAAAUCGGAUAUAGUUUAGGGUGUCUAAAUAGAAUUUACCCAAUUUCAUUUGUUGCUCUGCUACUAACUUAGUGGGGCAACAUUGUAUUCCUACUUUAUUCUAAAGAGGCUGAUGAACUUCAAAGUUUAUGAUGGCUAGUUAAUGGUGGAGCGAAUACAACGAAUUCAUUUAUGUUUCGACAAUUAGCGUGAAACUGCUGAUCUAUAGAAGAAAGUUAUACUAUUUUUAAUGUGAAUGAGUUAUGGAUCCAGCCUUGAUAAGUUUAAGUUAAUUAAAGUAGCCACAUGCAAUGAGGCUCAAUUAUAAUUUAGCCCCUUUAUUCACAAAGUAUGCAGAUCAAACCCCAUGACUAAUAGUCAAAGCCGUGAAAUGAACUUUGAUUUAUGUCAGUAGCUGAAAAGACAAUUAUGCCAUCAGAAUUUCUAGCCUUGAUAACUUCACCCUUCUCAUGCCAUAGGAUAAAAAUAGCAUUCUCCUAUUGGAGGAAAUAUGUCAUUUGAAAAAGUUAUAUGCAUGACCCCCAAGUUUUUACCCCUUGAAGUUUGCUAGUCUCAACUAAGCAUUUUGACAGGUGGUCAAAUCCAAAGGAGUUCGCUCAACUCUAUUCUCAAUGUCAUAACGACCAAUUUACCCAUUACUACCUAUUAUACCCUGUCUGGGUAUAAUAGCAACCAAUCUGGGUAUAGUUACAUCCAUAACAUCUAAAUUCAAUAAUUUUCUAAACUCGUCUGGUGGUGCGUCAAAGAAUUUAAGUUAAAAUUUAAAAACUGAAAUCUGAAGUUUGAAUUCAUUAAGUAAUUAAAUUGUUAACUACUAAAUAUAAUACAUUUGGGUGUAUUUUAUAUUAUGUGAUAAGUGAAUAACUUAUCAAUUAUUUUUUUAGAAUUAAUCUUUCUUACACUGACAGUGUAUACACUAUCAGUCUCGGAUGAAUAACAACUAUGCAAAAUCUGAAUUUGAAUCCAACUUUUGCACAUGUGUCAUGAAUCUAACGAUGAUAGUGUAUACACUGUCAGUGUAUAAAAAAUUUAUCCUAUUUUUUAGAGCGUGUUUUGACUAGAAAAUUUAGUGUCAUUUAAUUAAUCCAAAUGUUAUAUUUUUUUAUUAUCAAAUGCAUUCGAGUAUUUUACGAUCUGAAUUCAUUAAAUUUAAGUGUUGAAUUGGAUUAUCAAAUGAAGAUUUAGUUUUGCUAAAUAAUCCGUGCACUUGUUACCCUCGUGCCAUUCAUGCUUCAAUUCUCACUUCCAUUGUUUAGCUAGCCUUAGAGUGUAGUAUGGGAUUUCCUCAGAUGCCUUGUCAUUCAGCUCCAAACUCACGUUUUAGUCUGAUUCAAUGAUCAUAUUUCUGCAACAAAUAUCCCUUGCUAUACUCAACCCAUAAAUGAUGGCCCAUAGUUCUACUACCAUGUUAUUUGUAGUUCUCAAGCUGACACCGAACCCAUUCAUUCAGUAACCCCCUUCAUCUCUAAUUAGUCCUCCUACUCCAGCGUGUCCUAAACUGUUGCUUGAUACUCCAUCCACAUUUAGUUUCACCCAUCCAAUUUGGGACUUACUCCAAUUGAUAAACUUCAGCUCCUUCUGUACUGUUCUAUGAUAGUUGGUGAGAGAUUCCUGACUGAAUUCGGCUUGGGCUCUCACUGUUUGAGCAUUGAUUUUAUCUUAGUUGCAGUAAUAUUAGGUUCCCAGCAUACCAGGCAAAAUAAAAAAAGUUCUUGAAUCAAACACCUGCCAAUCUGCAUCUUUUAUCUCUACAGUGUCAUAUUGUUUUAAGCUCCAGUCAAGCCAUUCUUCCAGAUUUGGGUUCCUAAAUUUCCCCAUCUGCUUGGUAGAUUAGUUUCUUCCAUAUUGUUGAUAUCCAGUCAUAGCCUAGCAAUCCAUAUUUAUAAUUAUUGAAUUACAUUUGACCAACUUUUUUUUUUAUUAUAAAACAUCAUCAUAACAUUAAAUCUAUACUAAUAGCACAAAUUACAUCAAUCAUGCACAAAUACAAAUAGAUCUAAAAAACAAAUCUUGAUAUUGCAAAUCUAAAAAAUUAAUAGAAUAUUACACUGUGAAACUCCAAUAAUAUCAAAAGAUAAAACACUUAUUGCACCAAUAUCAUCUAUGCAUGCUUCCAACUGUUUUGCUUCUUUUCUCUCAGAUCUGCUAAUUAACUAAUUCAAAUUCAGAUGUUAAAGUGAGAUCUAAUGAGGUAGAUCUAAAAGAUUUUAGACUCGACAACCAAAUAUGAGAAAACUUAGAUCUAAUACAAAAAAUAGAAAAAACUACAAAAGCUGUCAUUAGAAAUCUCUAUGAGAGGAGAAAAUAUCACUAAAAAUCCUUAAGAGAGAAUAAACUCUCACUAGGAAACUCCAUGAGAGGAGAAUAACAUCUUUUGCUACUAGAAUAGCAUUGCCCUCAAUUUGAUGAGUACAAGAGUUUCAGAUACUAUCCUCAUCCACCAAGCUUCACAAACAAACUGAAAAAUAGUAGAACACAAAUGCAUCCAUACAAUGGUGAAGUAUUUUAUAUUUCGACAUUGCAAGACAAGGUAUAUGAAUGCCUAGGAUGAAAUAUGCAAAAAGAUUCUUGAAGACCACAGGCUACGAGUCUUGAUUAGGCACUUCUCUGCUGUAAAAUUUUCCCACUACUCUGGAGUCCAGAAUUACAAUGGCUUUCUCAGACUUUAUGUUCUUAGGUGUCUUGUACUGGUUUAAAGAAGUUCCUUGAGAAACAUAAAAGUCCAUGAGCACGUUGAAUGUUCCUUGUUUCACAACUCUAAUUUCCAAAGGACCAAUGGUACUGAUGCUCUGAUUCCUCAGCAACUUAUAUUUCUGGUCCAGAGAUUGUUCCACUAAACUAC
rnacentral:lncRNA from 1 species